CCGAUCAUUAACCUUUGACAGUUGUUCCUUAGGUAAUCUUAGAUAGUUGGGGUACAGGAGGAGCUACUAUAGAUCAUUCAUGUACAGUGUUGAGAGCUUACUCAAAGCAUGUAAAAGCGAGAUUGGUUAUUGAGGUAGAGAUAUUAACAUUAUUGGAGGGUUGCAGCAUGCCAAGGCUUUAGGUUUAUCCAAUCAAUUAGUGGUGUGAGACUUCACUACUGUACUAUCCUAGCUGUUGAAAAGGGAAAGAGGGUCAUGGAAGCUUGACAAUUGGGUGUGCAAAAUUAUUGACAUUGCGUGUGGUUGGGGAUGCUCCUUUUCUUGAAUUCCUCGUUCAUCUAAUCAAGUAGCUAACUGGUUAGCCAAACCAGAAGCAACACACUUGACCUUUUUUGUUGGAGAUUUUCUUCCCCUUGAGUGUAUAAUGUCUUUCUAUUUGCAUUACAGGGGUAUUACCCCUUGAGAGGAGGGGCUAUUUUUGUUGUGGUGUUGGAUGCUUGGUUACUUUUUAGCUAACUUUUGUACAUCUUUGAAGGCUUGCUUAUCCUUUUUGUAUUCAUCAUUUAUUGAAUGAAGAUGUUUUUGUUCCUACCUUUAAAAAAAAAAAGGUGAUAGUGUUCUCUCCUAUGCUGCUCUAAAGAUCAGUUUGUUCUUUCGUACAGCUCCUUUUUUGUUCUUGUUUUUAUGCUUUGUACUUGUUUUUCCUUAGGUUUGUAUUUCCUUACAGAAACUUAUAUUUGUAAAUGUUGGAUGUCUUUGUGGUCCUGUUUGCCAUUAUUAGCUCAUAUUGGCCAAUGAUUAUGUGGUGAUGAUGCAUGACAUCGUUUUUCUUGGUUUCUAUGUAGACUUUGUCGACUUCAUGGAAACCACCUCAAACAACUGGCUAUGUCGUAGGAGUUUUGAUGGGGAAUAAGGUAUGCUCCUUGUUUACAUAUAUCUUAGAUCUGUUUUUUUAAGGCUUAAUCUACUAUUGUUUUGAUCUUGAAUAUGGUUGAGAUUGGUUGAAUUGUUCCUAAGGCAUGAGAUCUGUUAAAGGCAGUAAAAAUUUUGAGUUGGUUGAAAUUAUUAGAAUUGUUAAAGGUGGUUUUUUAUGCUUUGAGGCCAGUCAGAAAGAUAAUUGUCUCCAAUUAUGAUUUGACUUUAUUGUUAAGGUGCUUUUAGGGCAAUUGAUGUGCCUGGAUAAGAACUUGCCAGUUCUUUUGUACCCUUGGGUCUGUUAAAACUAUAUAAACUUUUAUUGGGGCCAAAUUUUAUGCAAGGCAUCAUUUUAGUAAGACGAGCUAAUAAGAUUUCUGACUGGAUGAUGGAUUAAUCUUCCAGCUCCUUAGUUGAUGGGAUGAUAUAGAUAUAUAGUUGCAAACGUGCUGGCAGUGUGUUUUGAAAAAGGAAGUACAUGGGCCAUGGGAAUGCAAGCAAGUCUCCACAAAAGUUGGUUUUGUGGUUUAAAAUAUGAAUAGUGGGAUUGAUUAAGAGUUAGCAUGAUCAAUUUAAGUAAACUAGAUUGAUGACUACAAAUUCAUGUCCUACAAAAUUACAUGGGCAGUAUUUAUUUUAUUUUUGGUCAGAAUACAUGGCCAGUACUUUGAUUAACUGCAAAACUAUCCUUUUAAUAUUUUGCCAUCUCCUUUGUAAUUUGGAAGCUUAGUGCUGUCAAAAAAAAUGCUUUAUCAUGACAUUCUGGUUUUGUUAUGCAAAAUUGUCAUUAUCAGUUUGGUCUCCUUGUUUUCAAAACGCAAUUACGGAUUCCAUGAGAAAGCAAGGGUUGACAAAAGUUUGUUAUUCUGUUUAAAGUAUGAAUAGGAGUGUUAAGAGUUAGCAUGAUCACUUUGAGGAGACUAGAUUGAUUACCACAAAUUAGCGUCCUAAGAAAUUCCUAUCCAUUUUCUUAGCAUUGUAACUUUUGUUGCAAUCUUAUUGAUAUAGAAAUUGACUUUCUCGAACGAUUUAUGUUUUCACUAACUUCAGUGCUCUUGUCUCCUGUUGCCGUAGAUUUAAGUGCUUGGUCUUUAUUCUCCUUAGGUUUAUUCUCAAUAAUUUUUUUUUCUUGGCCUUGUCUAGUUCCUGAAAUCCAAUUUUGUUCCUUUUAGCCAAAUUUGUUUGGAAAUCAAAAGCCCCUUCAAAGGUCAAGGCCUUUGCUUGGUUAGUGGUGCACGAGAAGGCAAACACCAAUGAUAGGCUACAGUUGAGAAGACCCCACAAAUCUCUUAAUUCUCAUUGGUGCAUUUUAUGCAAGGGAAGUGAAGAAUCGAUUGACUAUCUUUUUCUUCAUUGCCCAUUAACAUUAGGGCUUUGGCAUGAGCUCUUUAGUCUAGCCAAGAUGGAUUGGGUUCUGCCCAUGAGUAUUGGUGGUAUGAUGAUAAUCUCAUAGGAUUGGGGACUUCCAUUAAAGGCGAGACUCUUUAGUAAAUUGUUUGUCUCACUAUACUUUGGAUUGUGUAGAAAUCAAGAAAUGCUAGGAUUUUAGAGGAAAAGUGGAGAACGGAAGGAAUGUUGUGAGAUCUACUUCACUUCUAUUCUUCCCUGUGGACCUCUUCUAUUAUUGCUUUUAGAGGAGUUCCACUUCAUGUUAUUCAAUAUAGUUGACUUUUGGUUUGUAAUUCAAAAAGGGUGAAUAACAUUGAGUGGAGUUGAUUCCGGUUUUUGAGAUAUUUUGUGUAUACCUAUGUGUAUAGUUCUCCUUGUAGAGUGGAGGUGUCUAGUCUUACUUUGAUAAGAUUUUGUAUUUUGUGGGAAGAACCUCUCAUCCUUGUCUUGAACUUUUAUUAUCAUCAAUAUAUCUUUUGUUUCUGAUAAAUUUUUUUUUCCCCACCCUCUUCCUAAUUUAGAAGCUUAGUGUUGUUAGGUCAAGAAACUUUGUUAUGUCAUUAUUUUUAUAUUUUUUUUAAAUUAAAAAAAUAUAUUGUUUUCUUCCCUAGCUUUUCAAAGUAGACUUACGUGUCAUGUGCUCAACUCCCCUGUGGUCCAAUACCUGGACUUCAUGUAGGACUUCUAUUAAAGGGAAAUAUAUGGGAUGUGGUGCAUUUAACUUGUGCUUCAUGUUGGCAUCAUUUUCCUCUGGCUUGUCACCAGUUCUCUGGCCAGAGUUUUGAAAUCAACAAUAUGAAUCAAACAUGAAGGCUAUGCAUGUUUUUGACUUUACUUGACACCAUAGGGCACUUGUUUGAGAUAUCUUCGACAGGGAUAAGCCGAGCUUUGAACCUUGGGGCUGAAAUCCAGUUCUUGCGACCAGCAAUGUUUUUGAUUUGCCUAAUUAUGAUUAUUGUGUGCAGGCAUCUCUAUUUUGGUGAAUGGUAGUUAAUGCCUUUGAUGUUGUCUAGCUUACUUUAAAUCAAGGUUUAAAAUGUUGUGAUCAAUCGAGGAUAUAUUGCCGAAAUAUCGUGUAUCAGAGGCAACUGACACGAUAACCUCCUUCGAAAUCUCGAGUGUCCAAUAUUUCCUUAUUUUCACCUUUUUUUCGCCGAUUUUUCGGCCUUAUAUAAAUAUUUUGCUGAUUAUCACCGAUUUUUGGGCAAUUUUUAUGCCACGUCACUAAUGUGUAUAUAUGUAUAUAUAAUAUGUAUGUAUGCAUGUAUAUAUAGAAUUUUGCAUGGCAUGUGUGUCAAUUCAUCAUCUAUAACCUGGAUUACUUGAUCUGAUCAUAGAACCAAGAUUACUAGUUGCUAAAUGCAAGACACAAGAGUUUGUUGAUUUUGUAAGUGUAUUAUGACAACUUUUGUAUUAUACUGUUGCUUUAUAAAAUUUUAGUUUGUUUGAUGUUUAGGGUUAGGAAGUCCUUUUGGUGUCCUUUGUACCCUUGUGUACAUUGGUGUGCCCCUUUUGUUUAGGUUCUUUUAAUGAGGUACUUGUUUGCCUAUCAUUAGAAGAAAAAAGGAUAUCUAAAGUUAUGAAGCUUUAUUUUUAUUUUUAUUUUUUUUCUUUUCCCCCCACCUCUUGCAGCUACACCUGAAUCCUAUUCAUGCAGUGGUGCAGCUCCGGCCAUCAAUGGAAUAUCUGAGUUCUGGUGGUGCAAAAAGAAAGAACAAUGUUACAGGCGACACAAACAGUGCAGUUAAGCUAGAGGUUUCUAACGAAGAAGAAUCUGUUGGGUCAUUGAAGAAACAGGUAAAUUGUUUUAUGAAUCUAUGAUCUAUCAUGCUACUAGACUCAGCAAUUUAUUGUGCAGAAGUCUGGAGUAUAUGGGCUGACUAUGUGCAUUGAUGGGGCACCAACAUAUCCAGGUUUAGAACAAUUUGUUAUCUGACAUUGUGAUCUGAUAAUUCUGAAUUGGCUUCAUCUAAUUUUCAAUUUUUUCUUAAAAUCAAUAAACAAGUAUAUUGGGGCAAAGAAUAGAAUAAGUGCAAAGAAGGUCUAGGAGUCCUUUCUGGAACACCCAUAGACAAAAGGAUUAGAGAUAAACAAGGGAAAGGCUACAGACUACAAAAAGAAUAAGACCUAUCUCAAGUAGGGUAGAAUUUCUAACUUAGCCCAUCAAGGUGUCCAAUUGGUUAAAGCAAAUGCCAGGAUGUGUGGUGCCCUGCUAGGACUCCUUGAAGUUUAACUAGAUUUUAUAUUAGUCCACUUUAUCUCUCCCUUUAUGUUUUUGUAAUGUGUAUUUACUUUGAAAUAGAGUUAAAACUCUAUAUACCAAUCCUUCCUGUGCAGAACAAGAUAAUGGGAAUUUUGGAUGAGCAAAACACAGAUGCUGCAGAGGUAUGGCAUUUCAUUAUGCAAUGAUGCCAUUGAUAUUCAAUGAAUUGCCUAUUUUUCCAGAAUGAGGGCUAUCUUGUCACUAAUGGUUAAUUGUUGAUGCAUUUGAAGGCAUUCUAAAUUAGAUGUAUAAUCUAAGAAAAAGUAACUGAAGAUGGUUGCCUUUUCAGUUAGCCAAAGUUAAAUGUGGUUCUUAACUUCUUAUGAUCAUCAUCAUUGUUAUCAGCAUAAAAUUCUUAGUAUUACUAUUGUUUGUUAUUGGUUUGUUGUUCUUAUUAUUAUGUAUUAUUUUUUUCCCUUUUUAAUUAGAAACAAAAGAUGUAUUAAUUAAAGUGAAAAAAACAUGAGAAGGAUGAGAAAUCCUCCCCAUGAUAUACAAACCUGAUCAAAGGACCCAAUGAAACCUCCGCUUUACAAGGAGGACUAUACAAAAGGAACCAAAAACCUAUAUAAGUAUAACAUCUCUUGCAGCUCAUCUAGGGACCUCACCAUGUAGGCCCAACCCUAGGGUGUACAUACCGAAACCUAUGCAAUUAUUAUGUGGUAUUUUGUCCAUAGAGCGCUAUUGAAGCUAACAUGUGAGAGUUUUGUGAAGGGAGCAAUUCUUUAUAUUAAAAGGAUGAAGUACAAAGAUUAUACAUCGACAAACCUAGAAAUCUUCUAAGCAAGAUAACACUAAACUACACCUUAUAUGUAUUAUAUGUAAUCAAUACAUGUCUCUAACAUCUUGCACUUGCAUGUUUAGGAGUAUAUGCUAUUUUUUCAUCAAUUUUGAAAUCCAUCUAGGUUGGGAUCAUCAACAGUAGCUAAAGGAGGCCUAUAGGACCCAUGGAAGUCGAAAAUAGUCUAUUAUGAUAUUCCAAGAUGGCACAUUGUUGGAAUUUCUGAAGAAUAUUUUGAGAGGAUUAGUAGGAAAGGGGCUCAUGGUGAGGUAUAGGGGAAAAAGAGGUCUUAAAGAAGAACUUUUAACUGUUGUCCAGCAGGGGAGAGGAGCAUCCCUCAGAUUGUCUCUUCAAUAAGUUGAUGGCUUUCAGUAGCUUUGUGGGGAUGGCAAUGGUGGGAUUUGAAAAGAAGAUUAUUUCCCUUUCAGUAGCCCUUUUUGUCAAAGAAUCUAAGACCCGAAGGUUAGCAGUAAUUGAGUUCAAUAAGCGGGCUUCAUUGGAAGAAACUAUGUGGAGGCAAAAGCCAAGAGAAAUAAACACCAAAUUCUUCCAUAAUAUGACCAAAGUGCAGAGAAGAAUAAACUUUUUGUCCAAAGUUAGAGUGAAUGGGGAUUUUUGAGGAUGCAAAUGUAAAAGAAUGAGUUUCUAAGGGCUUCCAAAAUCUUUGAUCAGAAGUGGGUGAUUAGAAACCCAACAUUAGUGGGAUGACUUUUGAAGCGUUGGGAAGUGAGGAUGCUAGAGUCUUGGAGUUUCCUUUGUACAGGGAGGAAGUAUUAGCCACCUUGUCUGGUUUGUGCGAGGACAAAGCUCCAAGGUUAGAUGGUUUCACUAUGGUAGUUUAACAAAUGAGUUUGGAUUUUGCAGAAUCAUAGGUGAUAGGUUUCUUUAAGGAACAAUUCAAUUAUGAUUUUUUUGAGAGAAGCUUAAGUGCCAUUUUCUUGGUUUUAGUCUUAAAGAAAGGAAGAGUGGAGGAUGUGAAAGAUUUUUGACCUUAUUAACUUAGUUGGGGGGCUGUACAAGCUCUUGGCUAAGGUUCGAGCUAAUAAGCUAAAAAAGGUGGUGGGGUAAGUGGUUUUUGUUUACUAACAUGCAUUUGUGGAGGGUGGGCAAAUUUUAGACAUAGUUCUUAUUGCAAAUGAAGCCUUAGAUUUGAGGCUGAAGAACACUAAUAGCGGGGUUAUUUGCUAGCUAGACAAUGAAAAGGUUAUGAUCAUGUAAAUUUGGAAUUCUUGUUAAUAGUGUUAGAUAAAAUAGGCUUUGGUGAUAAGUGGGUCAAAUGGAUCAAAUGGUGCAUAUUUAUGGUGAAAUUCUCUAUCCUUGUCAAUGGGGUACUGUUUAACUUUCCCUAGAGCUCUAGGGGAUUGAGGUACCUCUCUUUUUCCCUAUCUCUUCAUUUUAGAAAUGAAGGUUGAGUCAGAUUUUGAAGAAGACUAGAGAGGGGGGCUUCAUUUUAGGCUUCAAAGUGGGAAGAAGAGGCGGUGAAGGAAUGAAAGUGUCUGAUUUGUUGUUUGCUAAUGGCAUCCUAAUUUUAUGUAAUGCUAAUCAAGAGCAUUUGAGGCAAUUUUUGGCCUUGAAAUAUAUACGGAUAAGAGUGAACUAAUUCUAGUAAGGGGAGUUGCAAAUGUGGAAGGUCUAGCACUGGUGUUAGGUUGCAAAUGUGGAACUAAUAGUUACAUUUUUUAUGUCAAAUCUUUCCACACUUUCUUAGCUCAAGGAAGAAGUCAAACUUUCUUGAAAUAUGUAGUUUGGACGUAUGAGUGCCAAUGAAAGUGGGUUUUUUGCUUUGGAAGCUAUUUGGGGAAAGAUCGACUUAGGAGGGGAUGGAUUAUUCCAAAUAGAUUAUGUGGGCUGCUUUUGUAUACUCCCUGUAUACCUAAAGGGCACUAGUUUGGUGUCUCCUCUUUCUGUUUAAUAUAUUUCUCUUUGCUUAUAAAAAAAAAAAUUAUUCCAAACAUGUGUAAAAGUGAGAAAGAGUCAGAUGAUCACUUGGUACUUCACCAUUUUAAAGUGAGAAUCUUAGGACAACUGAUUUUUUCUCUAUUCGAAGUGUCCUAGGUGAUGCAUUCCUCUAUAAGAGGAGCUCUUUUGAGUUGGCAUGGCUCUUAGUGGGGAGGAAGUAGAAGAAAGCCUAGAGGGCUACUCCUUUGUGUUUGUUUUAGACUUUAUGAAAGGAAAUGAAUAAGAGAUCAUUUGAAGAUGCAAAAUCAUUGGUUCAAGCAAUUAAGGCCUUGUUUGGUAACUGUUUUUUAAAAUAGUUCUGAAAAAUAGUUUUUAAGAAGAGUUUUUGAAAACUGUUUUCUGAUGUUUUAUAGAACAAAAGUUUGUUUGGGAAUUUAAAAUGUUUUUAACCCGUUUUUAAUAUUUUUAAAUAUGUUUUAAAAAUAAUUUUUAUGUCCACAACUUUAUUUUUAAUCAUUAUAUAUGUUUGUAUAAUUAUUUUUUAAAACAACUCUUAAAAAACAAGUGAAAACAACUAAAAGAUUUUCUAUGAAAACACCUUAUUUUCUGUUUUCUGAGAACAAAAAACAAAAAACAGUUUCUGGUUGCCAAGAGUGUUUUCUGGUUUUUUUUUGUUCUAGAAAACAGAAAACUGUUCUUGAAAACAGUUCUCAAACAGGGCUUAAAUCUUGUUGUGUAUCUCUUUGGAUUGAGUUAGAGUGUACAUAGAUGAUUUUCCGAUGAGUAUUCUAGGCUUUGUAGAGUGGUUGAGUACUAAUUAGUGAAAGAAAGGUUUUUUGUUGUCUGCCUUCCUUUUUGCUUUCCUAAUGCUAUCUGUAUGCAGUGUUUUAAAAAUUGGAUAGGACUGGUCUAAUUGUCAAUUGACGGUCUUUUUGAUCUAGUUGAUUGCACUGAACCAUCUUAGUAUUGGACUGACCAUGAACUGUGUGAACCGAUAGUUAGACCUCUAGACUGGAUGAGCUGGCAUCGACCAUGUACUGUUUUUGCCCAAAAUUACAUUGGGCUUCAACCUACUUGGCCCAAUUUCAUUAGCCAUCCUUCAACCCAACUUAGUUGCUAGUCAUUAUUAUUAUUUUUUUUAUCAAACUUAGUUGCUAGUCAUUAUGGUCACAUGGUAUUUCUAUACCACAAUUAUUUCAUCACCUACCGACGUGGGAUUGAUUAAAGAAGAAAAGUAAUAUGCAAUAUGUGCUGUUGGUGGGAUUUGAGCCUUGGAUGUCCAUUAUGCAAAAAGGUCCCUUGACCACUAGGCUAUACAAUACUUCUAUAAUUAUGUUAUACAACAAAAUAUAUAAAAAUAUGUUUUGUUUUCAAAUUUUUAUCAUAUAAAACCAUUAAAUAAAUACAAAUAUUUACAUUUAUAUUUAUUUUUAUAAUAAUUAUUAAAUGAUAAAUACGAGAUAGACAUAAAUAAAAUUAAAUAGUAUAAUUUUUUUUUCAUCUUUAAAUAUAUCUUUAAAAUUAAAUAUUAUAUUCGUUCUAUUUAAUAAAAUUUAAAAUAUUAAGAUAUUUAUAUUUAUUUUUAUGAUUUAAUUUGAUACAUCAUGUAUAUAUAUAUAUAUAAAACAUUAUUAAAAAUUUUGAACUAUAUGUUUUUAAUUUUUUACAAUUAUUUUUAAUUUUAUACAAUAUAUAAAUUAUUUAUUUAUGACAUCACCGGUUUGACUACGAUUGAACCAUCGGUCCGACCAUUGAAUUGUGAAUCAAUAACUUUUUCAGUUCAACGACCCGUCCAGUUCUAAAAACAUUGUCUAUAUGCAUUAUGUGUACUCUAGCGCGGUUGCCUAUUUCAAGCGCUUUUAAUAUAUUCUCAUGGUUUGCUAGUCAAAAAAAGAAAUUGUAGGAGACUUCCAUCAAAUCCCUCUAGAAGUUGUGUAUGGUCCUAUUGGAGAUGGUUCAGUGCUCCUUGUUAGAUUUCAUAGAUGGUCUAAUUAAAUGGUAGGUUAUUUUUAUAUAAUUUUCUUAUUUCAUUCUCCUGGUGGUUCCUUUGUCAUGCUUCUUGUGUACAUUGGGUAUGCCCCCCAUUUUUUGGUUGGUGCUGUUUUACACAUCUUUAUAUGCCUAUCCAACAGAAGAAGAGGGGGAGUAAAAAGUUGAAGAGAAUUAUGGUACAGAAUGGUUGUUGCAGUGUUGAUUGUGAGGUCAUGCCAUAUACAAGAUAGGAUUAAGGACAGCUGUUAUUUUUAGACAUUGAUAACAUAACAAUAUAACAUAGUUCCUGACAUGGAUUUCAUUUUUCCAGUCCCUUUUUAUGUUGCAUAAUUGCAUUGUUCAUAGAUGAUGCCUAAUAUGUGCUUAAAUAACUUUCAUUUUCUAUAUUGCUAUUUAACAAAAAUGAUCCUUAGAUAUUCAUAGAAUAGGAGAAGCAGGUGAUCUUCUGGAUGUUUAUCAUCGGUGACUGAUAUGUUGCAUUCUUUUUGUGGAAUCUUCCCUCCCUCUAUCUAGUAUGCUUUCUUUCUUCAUUGGCAUGUUAUGGUCUGUCACUGUGGGAUAUUGUUGCAACUUCCCACCUUGUCCUUUGGUGCUUUUAGAUUUUGUGUUACAUUGCUUGCAAACUAUGGAUUCAUUGAGAUGUUUUCCUUUUUUUUUUUUCUUCCCCCUUCUUUCCCCCCACUCUAUCUCACAGAGUUGGGUUCCACUCAAGUACCAUAGCUCGGAGAGUGAUUUCUCAGCAAGAUAUCUACAAAAAAUGGUGGCAGAAGACAACUCUCCUAUCCAGUUUUUAAUGAGCCCGUAUGCCUUUUACUUAUUUAUCAAUGCAUUUUUUUUUUGUUCUUGUGUUGUUUUCAAUCAAAGGGGUUAAAUGUUGUCUGAAUAUGUUAAUUAUUUAAUAUUUUUAAUAAUUAUAAUUAUUAUUAUCUUUUUGUUUUUAAUGUGAAGGUAUGAAUAUGUCAACUCCUUGUGUCCCCCCGGAGUGUCUAAUGAUGAUAACAGAUCAAAAGGUCUUUCAAGAAGGUAUUCUUAUCCUGUUGCUUCUGGUUGCAUGAAUCUGUGAUAAUUUAUGAACCUUACAUUUAUAGUGGGGGGUUAGCAAUGCCUUGAGCUUUGUUAAAAUUAUAUUUAAAAAAAUUUGGUUCUAAUUCUAUGUGCACUCUGUUGUUCUUCAUUCCUGUUUUUAUUCUCUGUACUUGCAAAUAUGCUUGACAUUCUUUUUUUUUUUUAUAGAUAAUCACAAAUAUAUUAAAGGGCAAAGGCCACAAAGCAUAUAGGGAGUAUACAAAUCAGCCUAAAACAAGAACACAAAAAACAAGCACCCUUACCCACCCUUAAGUGGCCGCUAGCAACUCUAAAAAGCCUAAGAGCGAAGAGGACUCCUCUUCAAUAUACACCCUAGCCCAACUCCACAAGGUACAUACAAAAGAAUUUUUGAGUUUCUGUAUAUCUAACACACCUCCCCUAAAAGCUAAUCUAUUCCUCUUCUUUCAUACCGUCCAAAAAAUACACAACGGGAUGGAAUUCCAAAUCUUUUUCCUCUUUUUCCCCACAAAAGAGCCCCUCCAACUGAAUAACGCCUCUUUAACUAACUCUGGGAACACCCACUGAACCCCAACAAGGGCAAGGACGAUCUCCCAUAGGGCCCUUACCACUAUACAAUGUAAAAGAAUGUGAUUUACAUUUUCCUCUUCACAACCACACAAAAAACAGCGGUUAGGGAGCUGCCAUCCCCUUUUUUGAAGCCUAUCCAAGAUGAGAAUCUUCCCCCACGCGGCUUCCCAAGCAAAAAAGGCCGCUUUGGUUGGGACCUUGUCCACCCAAACACAUUUAGUCCGAAAGGCGCAUGCAUUGGUAACAGCCAGCACAUUGUAGGCAACCUUAACCCCAUAUUUGCCAUGACCCCCACCUUUCCAUAGCACAACGUCCUCCUCUGAAGAUAUCCUGAAGUCCUUGAGCAUAUUAAGCAAUCCUCUAAUCAAGUCCAACUCCCAAUCAUUAAAAUCUCUAUGAAAUCUAAGAUUCCAACCUCCUUGACCAAUGCUUGGGUCCCACAUCUCAUUAACCGUUGCAUUCCUGUGAACCGCCAACUCAAAAAGCUAAGGGAAAGAUUGGGAUAGCGCCGCGUUGCCACACCACUGGUCAGUCCAGAAUUUAACUCUAGCCCCCUUCCCCACCUUAAACUUUAUAUUAUCCCAGCACCACUUUGCUUCCUUCAAAAUCUCCUUCCAAACCCCCACUCCAUAAGUUCCACGGGCUUCUUUAGUUCUCCACCCAAAAUCUUCCUGACCAUAUUUCACCCCAAUCACCAUCUUCCAGAGAUUAUCCUUUUUAACGGCAAAUCUCCAUAACCAUUUACCCAACAACGCUUUGUUCAAGGGAUCAAUCUUCCGAAUGCCAAGGCCACCCUUCUCCUUUUGAGUGCACACCACCUCCCAAUUAAUUAAGUGGACUUUCCUCUCCAAGCUUCCCCCUCCCCAAAGAAAGUCUCUUUGUAAUUUUUCGAGUCUAUUUGCAACACUCUUAGGCAUUCGAAAGAGGGACAUAUUGUAAAUAGGCAAGCUGGCCAGAGUGCUCUUGAUUAAGGUGAUACGCCCACCCUUCGAUAUAUAUUGUCUUUUCCACUAGGCUAAUCUUCUCCUCAUUCUCUCUUCCACCCCAUCCCAUAUAGAGAUAGCUUUGUGGUGGGCUCCAAGGGGCAGCCCCAAGUAAACAGUGGGCAGCAACCCCACUUUGCACCCAAGCUCCAUAGCCAUUUCCUCAAUUUCUUCCACCUCACCAACCGGAAUUAAGACGCUUUUAUGUAGAUUAAUUCUGAGACCGGAAGACGCCUCAAACCAAGCCAAAAUCCAGCUUAGAGCGGAUAGUUGCUCUUUCCUAGCUUCACAAAAGAUGAUUGUAUCAUCAGCAAAAAGAAGAUGUGAAACUAUCAUCUCCUCUUCCCCUCUCCCCCAAAUUCUGCAUCCUGACAAGAAGCCCCCAUCAACCGCCCUUCUUAUCAGAUUGCUAAGCACUUCCAUGCCCAACACAAAGAGAUACGGGGAGAGAGGAUCUCCUUGCCUUAGCCCCUUGGAAUUCGAGAAGAAGCCAGCCGGCACCCCAUUGAUCAUGACUGAAAAUUUGGCGGUUGAGAUGCACCACCAAAUCCACUCCAUCCACCGUGACCCAAAGCCCAUUUGAAACAGAACUUUCAUGAGAAAUUUCCAAUUAAUGCUGUCAUAGGCUUUUUCAAUGUCCAAUUUACAGAUCAACCCUUUCUCGUUCCUUUUGUGUCAGAAAUCAAUCACCUCAUUGGCAAUAAGUGACGCAUCCAAAAUCUGUUUGCCCCUCACAAAGGCAUUUUGAUCCCCAGAAACCACCUUGUCUAACACCUUCUUCAGCCUAUUCGUCAACACCUUAGCCAAAAGCUUGUACAAACUCCCUAACAAAUUGAUUGGCCGGAAAUCUCCCAGGUCUUCAACCCCUCCUUUCUUAGGGAUAAGGACUAAGAAAGUGGAAUUGAGGCUUUUGGCAAAAGAUCUCUAGUCAUAGAAUUCUCUAAAUAGGUCCAUAAUCUCCUCCUUCACAAGCUCCCAGCUUGAUUGCCAAAAAGCAACUGUGAAGCCAUCUGGGCCUGGAGCUUUAUCACCAUUCAUAUCCAUUAGGGCAGCGUAAAUUUCCUCUUCAGUAAACGGCAUCUCCAAGACUUCAGCUUCACGGGAAUUGAGGCGAUUAAGGUGCAGCCCCUCAAUAUCCGCUCUCCAGCCUGGUUCUUCUGAUAGUAAAUGCUGAAAAGCAUUCACUAUCCCCUCCCUCACCUCCUGGUCCUCAGUCAUCCAUACUCCAUUAAUUUUAAUUCUAUCCAGAGAAUUAUUUAUUCGGUGAGCAUUUGCCAUCCUAUGGAAAAAGCCAGUGUUCCUAUCCCCUUCCUUAAGCCACAAUUCCCUUGACAAUUGUCUCCAGUGGGUCUCUUCCAUUAAGACCCAUUUUUUAAAGGAGUCCUUGGCUUCUUUUUUCAGCUCAGUUUCUCCUUCAGACAGGCAGACUCCUCUCACUUUCCACCCUGUCCCAAAACUCCACUUGUUGAAGGAUUGAGUUCUUAUUGGCUUCCAGCCUACCAAACACCUCCCUGUUCCACACUUUAAUUUUUUGCUUUAGCUCCUUCAUUUUAGUGGCUAACCUGACACUGGCCCUCCCUCUCACCUCAACCCCCUCCCACCAACCCCGAAGAAGGUCCGUAAAACCAUCAGCUUUAAGCCACAUAUUUUCAAACCUAAACGGGGAAGGACCCCUCCUUAACCCACCCCCCAUCAACAAGAUAGGAAAAUGAUCCGAGGUAGGUCUGGGCAGCCUACUUUGCACGACCUCAUUGAAAUGAUCAAGCCAACUCUAGGUCACCAGGAACCUAUCCAAUCUGGCCCAAGCCUGAUUAUUCCUCCCCCCACUCCAUGUAAGCACACCCCCUUGCAAUGGAAAGUCAAUGAGCUCUAACUCAUCAACAACCUGAGCAAACCUUCUCAUUGCACUCGUUAGCCUUCCCUAAUUACUUCUUUCCCUUAGGGAAAGGAUGACAUUGAAGUCACCCCCUAGACACCAAGGAUCAUCCCAAAUGCCUCUAAUUGCUCCUAUCUCCUCCCACAUCCACUCCCUUUCCUCUCUAGAGAAAGGCCCAUACACACCACUAAACAUCCAAACUAGCCCAUCUUCCACGUUCCUCAGCCUACAAGAGAUUGAGAAAUUUCCCACUUCCAUUUCAAUCAUUUCCAAGGUCCUCUUAUCCCAGCGGAUCAAUAACCCUCCCGCAGAACCAUGGGCAUCCAGGGUACCCCAAUCAAGAAAUCUACCAAAACCUAAGCUUCUCACCAACCCCUCUGUCAUUGCUUGAAUUUUGGUCUCCUGGAGACAGAACAAAUCCACCCUUUGACUCCUGAUCAUGGCCUUAAUCACCUUUCUUUUUGAACUGUCGUUAGCUCCCCGAACAUUCCAACUCAAGAGUCUUAGCUUUAUUUAACCACCAUGAUCUGACACCCUCUUACUUGCAUUCCACACUUCUGUUUCUUCCCCCCCUCGUAGUUAAUUGAGCAUUUUAGUCUUUUCAAUUCCCUUUCGAACUUAGAUUUUUCUAGAAGGUUUUUGUUGUGGACUCUUUCCCUUCUCUUUCGGAUUUUAACCAAAAAAUCCAAAAUUUCUCUCUAGACCUUCUGUCGAAAACCCCAAAAACUUACUAAAUUUGGCCAACUCACUCUCCUCCCAUCCCUUUCCUCCUCGUGGCAUAGAUUGAACUAAACACAACUCCUUUCCACAGUUGUCCUUGCAGCCAUUAAUAACCUCCGUCAAUUCCCAGCGCCUUACAUUCUCCUCUUCUAGGGGUCCCGGGGUGAGAAGCAUGCAUAAGGGGCUUUCCCUCAGGUGAGUCACCCUGUCAUCCCUAGAAAGGUCGCAAUACUCCCCCAAUGGAGUCCAACCAAAAAAAAAAGAAGGAGAAGGUGAGGACCUAGACGCCAACAAACCACUAGGGUUAGGAGCACACUCGUACCUCAACGCUUCCUCAAUUAGGGCGUGGUCGGUCCUUGACCUCUCCACGGAAUAGAGCUCCUCCUCAAUUUGCUUUCGUCGACCAUCUUUUUCCCAGAAAGGAAAGCUUUCAGCGUCUGGAUCCCUCAGAUGAUUUGGACCAGCCCACACUAUAGGCAGGGCCACCCUAAAGCAGCCCACCAAAGAUUGGGGUGGGCCUCGGCAGUCGUCCCUCCCAGCCGGCCCAGGCGCCCCAAUGGUCUCCAAGGCCUUUAGCCUCCUAGAGCCCUCUAAAGACGAAGGCCCAAAAGGAUACGGCCCAGCCUUAGGAGAUGAGACUGGAUCAAGCCCAACGGCCCAGAGCCCAAAUCGGAGCUUUGAAAAGCCCAAGUAGGGCCAAGCAUAAUGGGCUCCCCUUGCAGGCCUUCCUGGUCCCCCACUAACGACCCAACUGGGCCUCGAGACCAAGCCCAAAGGAGCCCCGGCCCACCUGUCUGCCCCCUCGUCCCAUCAGCAGACUGCAGGUGGGUCUCGAUCUUUGCGUCGUCCACCUCUUCCAGCACGCGCUUGCCCGCGCGUGCAAAGACGUCACCCUCAACCUUUCCUUAUACUCUGUUGUUCUUCCCCCUCCUCUCUGCCAGCAGCACUCUCGUUGCCAGCCUUACCUCCCACCACAGGGUUAGCGAAUAACACACCCCUUCGACCCCAAUUUCUAUCAUGCCAGGGAUCUCCUCGCCGGUUAGCUUCACUAGGAUCCUUGCCCACUGCAGCUCCUCUAGCCUCUCCGUCUGAGAAUCAAUCGCUAAAAAUCCCCCACACUUCUCCCCUACCUUUCUAAGGGUGUCCCGAUCCCAUAAAGAGAUGGGUAACCCCACGAUUCUCACCCAAGCCUCAUUCUUCUUCUCUCCUUCCAACAGACACCCCGUCCUAGGGCUCCAUUUCUCCAGUCGCAGAAAUGUCUUCCCUACCAAAAUUCCUCCCAGAUUUAGAGCUUAUUUGGCUUCAGCUACUAUCUCAAACUCCAGCAGCACCUUUCUCCUUUCCAACUUAGCCAAACCUAAGUUGCCCUUCAACCCCCAAGAUCGUGCCAUUUGGUCCCCCCAACUUCACAGGUCAUCCCCCUUCACUGGCUUUGGAUCCCACGAGCCAACAAGGCAAUGAUCCAACCUCUUUAAGUUUCGGCUAAGGUCCUUGUGGCUUACUUCCACCCUAGCCACUGACCUGCCAUUGCGAUUUUGCAACUUCACCACUUCCGCAAAACUUUUCCCCAAACUAGGCACCAACGGCAUCGCCUCGUCCUUCUGACUCUCCUUCCUCUCCAUAGCAACACCCAAAGCCCUAAGUGUCUCCACCAUAGCAACCCAGCCCCCUUUCCCUCAUUUUCCUUUGGGGAUAAAGAUGUUGAACCUUUUCUUCUCCAGAUCCUCGACACCCAGACGGAUGAAGCAUCCCCCCUUAUUUUCAUCCCGCAACAGUGAGUAUCUCCCUCUUUCCCUCCAAUUUCUUACCCAUUUGCCUGUUCGUGUGUCCUUAAUGCACAGAGCCAAACCUUCCACAAAAAGCCCUAGACUAUCCGGACCCAUCUUAAUCCACGAAGACACCCCUCUUUUCCUUUCCACAAUAAUGACUUGCAUUUUCCCCUUCUUCUCUUCUGCCUCGAUCUCGAAGGUCUUCGACUCCACCUUGAAGUUGCUCUUCCACCGGCUGUUCCAAGGCUCCAAGCCGCCAAUAUUUUUUGCACCAUCGCUCGCACACAGAACCGCUCGCUCUCCUCCCUCGUUCUCACUCUCUCUCUCUCUUGACAUUCUUAUUGAUGAAUACUGAUCAAGGUCUAGGGAUUUUUGGGUUUGAAUUGUAUAUCACUUUUUUGGUAGGUAUAAAUAGAAAUUAUAUAAAAGGACAUAAAAAAUAGACAAUCCAUGAACACACGUGGUAUACAAGGUACAUCCAAGCAUAGUUCAAAAAACAAUAGGAAGAAGAAGAAUAUGGAUCUGCAAAACCUCCUGCUAUAUCUCUCUCAAAUCUUGAAUGAGCCCAAAGGAGGAUCUUCUGCUAUUUGAUCUACUUCUUCUGACCAAACAGAUAAACAUAUAAGCAAAAUCUCUUUUCUUUCCAAACUGAAUCUUUAAUCCCCUUGGAUGGCCUUCUAUAAAAGCCCUCCCAGUUACACCAUGCUAAGCAUGAAGGAACUGUCAUUAUAACCCUCUUUGAAGGUUAUCUCAUCCUUCUUUGUACUAUACAUUUAUGUUCUUUAAAAUGAACUGUUUGUUCCCAAUUAAAAAAAGCAUAAAGGUUUGACUUAUAGAACCUAAGCACCUAUCUAGGGCCAAAUAGGAUAUUCCAAAGCCCAUAGUUUCCAGGCCAUUGGACAGCAUAAAAGGAUGUGAUCAGUUUUCUCUUAUUCCUUUUACAUAUCACCACCAUUUGGGGUGAUCACCCCCACCUUGACCAACUUGUCUAUGGUCAAAAUCCAUCUCUAAACUGAUGUUGACAUGAAUAACAUUGCCACUUUUUGGUCAGCCAAAGUGCCUCAAUUUAUUAUUAUUAUUAUUAUUUUUUUUUUGAAAAAUCAUUCUUACCCCAGUAUUCAUAUCUCUAUAAAAAAGAUUUAACAGAAAUCUUGUUAUCUGAGGACAACUUUCCAUUGACUGAUCAUGCCUGUUUUGACUAAUCUCCUUCUUAUGCAACUGUUCUAUGGAAGAAAGAUCAUCCUCUUCUUCUUUGCUUCUCCAUGAUGAAGUUUGUGUUCCAAAAUGAGUACUUAAAUCAUUGUUUAUUUCUGAUUAAGAAAAGUAUAAAGGAGCUACAUGACAAACUUCCCAUGCCUCCUAGAAGGAGGCCUGAUUACACCAAAUAGAAUGAAGAUCAAAGCCCAUAGGUCUCUAGCCAUUGAAAGACAACAAAGGAUGUGAGCUGCUCCUCUUGUGCCUCUUACACAUCACCAUCAGUUAGGAGUCAUCUCCCCCAUCUUCACCAGCUGGUCUGUGAUUAAAAUCUUUCUUUGAACUGCUGCUGAGAUGAAGAAUGCUGUCACUUUUUUGGAAGGAAAAGUGCCCCAAAUUCCUCUUCUGGAAAAUCCUUCUCACCCCAUUAGCCAUAUCUUGAUAAAAAGGCAUUUAACAGAGACCGUAGUGUCCGAGGACAUCUUUCCCUUGAAUUUCAUCAUCCCUGUUUUGACUAAUUUCCUUUCUUAGACAAGGAUUUGGAAACUUCACUUCCAAUGAUCUCUUUCCCUGCACCACUCACCUUGCAAAUCGUAUCAAUUGUUAAGCAUGUUCAUUUGUCCCUGCUUCUUGUCUAAUUGGAUUUUGUACAAGCCUUUUCAAAAGUACUAUGAAUGCAUGUUUUGUGUUCAUAAUUUAAUUGAUAUCAACUAGGGAUGAACAAACUGGCAAAAUUGCUGAAAUUAUGACUGAUAUUUCAGAUAUCGGCAUCACUGGAAAAAAAAAUUGGAGGAAAGUUGGGCCAGUGGUGUAUCGCCGAUUUUUGGCCAAAAAAUUGCUGAAAUCAUUGACAUAUUGAGAAUAAUCUAAAAAGGAUGUAUUGAAAGGAAAUUUUAAUUAAAAUAAAGAAUGAUUGCAAAUAUGAGCAAAAGGAGUUUAAAAAUAAUAUUAUAUUAGUCUUGAAAUUUUAAAAUUAAUCAUUUUUUUGGGAAAAAAGUAUCUUGUGGAUGUGAAUUUAGGUUUCAAUAUUUAUCUUAAUCUAAAAUUUGAUUUUUUAAAGAAUAUUUGGAAUAAUCUAAAAAAUGGAUCUAGAAAAAUUCAUAUAUUUUUAUUUAAAAAUCCCACUUUAUAUUUUUAUCUAAAUUUAAAUGAUAGUUUUUAUUCUUUUGAAGCAAUGUCAAAAGGUAUAUAUAUGAAAAUUUAAAGGUAAAAACUUGGUAACAAGAAUGAUUUUUACAAUUUUAGUGUUAAAUUUUGAUUAAAAAGAAUAAAAGAUCUAAUUAUAUGAAAAAUAAGAAUUUCACUUGAAUAAAACACAUUCUUUUAGAAGAACUGAUCAUAAAAAUGAUUAUCUUACUUUAGGCGCUUUUUAAUGCAUUUCUUGCUUACCUAUAAAAGAAAUGAUUAUCUUACUUUGAUUUAAUUGUUUAAUUUGUUCAUUUUAAAUAUUAGUAUCAUAUUUUAUAUAAUCUAAUUUAAUUGUAAUAUAAGUUGAUUAUUAGGAAUUAUGAAUUUAUGAGUUGUACUUGUGCAUAUUUUUUAUGUUUAAUUAGUUUAAUACUUCAAUUUAAUUAUUAGUUUGUUAUAUAAUUUAAUUAGUUUAUUACCUGUGUACUAUCAGUUUUUUAAUCAUUUCUUAGUGUUUUUUUUUUCCAGCAUUUCCUUGAGUUUCGAUUAAUUUCCCUCUCACUGAAUUUUUCUUCCAAAACUUCUGUCCAAUAUUUUUGAUAUUUUUGUAAAAUCGAAGCAUCUGUAUGCCGUGGAUUUUCGAUAUUUUCAUCCUUGAUAUCAAUAAGAUGAUUUGUUUAAUAGAAUGAGAUUUCACCCUAUACAGAAAAUCUUGAAUGAAGUCCAAACUCUGGACCUAGAACAAGAAAAUGCUUAGUUAAUGCCAAAUAAACUUUCAUGAAAACCUUUUUACCUACCUUUUGAUGUUUAAUUUACUGCACUGACAGUGGAAAAUAUCAAUUUUUUUUUUUAUAUUGUUUCAAAUUUAAAUGCAUCUACUUUUUCUCAAACUACAGUAGACUUAAGUAUAUGGAGAAAUCUAUAACUAGCAUGGGAAUUGGAAUUAGUGCUCUUGAUAUUAGAAUCUUUAUAACAUAAAUAAUGUAAUUACUGUUGCAAAAUAAGUUGGUUUGGAUUCUUGUGGUAAUUGUUAUGCUAAUACAUGCUUAUUUUAAGGGAGCAAAGAGAAUGCAGACAAAUUUUAUUAUUUAGCCCAAAUAUUCUGCUUUUGAAGUUGGCCACCCUAUUUUCACUCACAUUUAUUACUUGUCAGCACUAUUAUGGUAGCUUAUAUUAUUUUGUUCAGUUGUCUAGUAAAUGGCAUUAUUAAAAUUGUAUCAAUUGGUCUUGGUUGUGAACAAUUUCCAUAUCUCUGGUACACUAAAUGAUACUCAAUUCAACAUUGAUGCACAUAUUUAUGUAUCUUGUGUUUGUUUGUAUUGCUUGAUCUGCUCAUUUCUUUGUCAAGAGAAUAUUAACAUUAGUACUCCAUGUACCUGUUUGGUAUUGGAUUUCAAAGUAACAAGUGGAUACUGUUUCAGGUUCUUACUUUCAAUGCCUCUGGAAGAACGUUUUAAGACAUUGCUUUGUGAGGUUUGUUGCUACUUCAGUUGACAUAUACACAUUUUGCAAUUAUUCUGUAUUUGCAGUUGAUACUCUGGUGUGUGUGUGUUCCUCCUUUUCUUUUUCCAUUUUUCUUUCAGUUUUGGGGGGAGGUAUGUUGUUAAGUACUUCGAGUAGGUUAAUUACAUAGUUGAAUGAAUUGAACUGUUUUUUUUUUUUUUUUUAAUUUUUAAUUUUAUUUAUUUUAUUAUUACAGGACAUGCAGACUCAUAUAAGAUAAUUUAUACUUAUUGUAACAUUUCCUUUUAGCUCAUUUUGCUUUAAGGUUUCUCUGUCAAGACCAAUUCUUCUGUGAGUUCUUGUUGCACGGUGAAAAAAUGGAGAGACAGUUUGAUGGAAUCAAUCCAACUGAUAGAUAAGAAACUCAUGAGAAGAUACUUUGCAAACAUCUCCUGGUUCUUUUUUCUCUCUUUUUUUUUUUUUUGUGUGUGUGUGUGUGUUUUUCUUUAACGUUUGUGCUAAGAUUAAUUAUGAUAGAGUAAGCAUUUGACUGGGGGUUNNNNNNNNNNNNNNNNNNNNNNNNNNNNNNNNNNNNNNNNNNNNNNNNNNNNNNNNNNNNNNNNNNNNNNNNNNNNNNNNGAAUCCCUACAGGGGGUAUCUAUCGGAAAAACCAUUUCUGUCAUCUUUUUGAGGAUGUGUGGCCCACAAUCCCAUGCUGAUUAGAGUUGUGGGGAUAGCCAAUAUUACCUUUAUGACCUUGUUGGCUUAUCUGCUCUAGUGGAUAGACUGCGACUAUUCAACUAAAGUAUGCUUUAUUUUUUUGGCACCAAUUGGUUUUAGGUGAGAUAAUUAAAUUAGGGACAAUCGAGUUGUAUUAGAGCCAUGGCUACAAGUUUUAGUACAAUGCUGUGGAGCAAGGAGAAGGGAUUGUUAGGGUCAGGGAUCCACAAUCCAAUGCUGGUGGGAAUGCCUCUGUCAGCAUUAAAUUUGAAAACUCAUAAGGCCCUAGUGAACUGACCAUCACUACUCUAUUAGAUUUUACUUAUUUCUGCCCGAAACCUAUUUAUGUAGUGAGAUAUGGGACCAUCUAUCUUGAAUUUUAAGUUGUCUUACUUGCCUGACAUCACGUUAUGGUAUUUUGCAUUUCCCAUGAUUGGGUGGAAUGGGAUCCUUAUGAUAUAUACUGGUUUGCAUAGUACACUGAUGUCUAUCCCUUCUCUCUGCUGGUACCAUGUAUAAAGUUCCACUCAGCAUAGGCAUGGAGUCCACAUCUGGAUGUAUCUGAAGCCUCAGUCUAUCUGAAUACCUUUGAGCUAAGUCUGGUUUGUGUGUCUCUGUUUUUAACCACCUAUAUUCAUGGUUAACCUUCUAUCAUUUUAGCUUUCCUCACGAAUAUGAAGGAUGCAUUUGGCUCACCAUUUGUGAGGCUUAAACAAGCUUUUUGACAGUAAAAUCUCUUUCAUCCCGUGUUUGGUUACCCUUGAGGAGUCCUUUAGGUUAAAGAUAUUCGGACCUAAAAGCUCUUCAAGUAAAAAUUACACUAAAAAGUAUGAGGGAAACUACUAUUUGUUUAAUUCUUUCUCCAUAUAAAUUUUAUAUUAUGAUGAAAUUAUUUAUUUAUUUUUUGUCUCAAAAUUAUCCACAAUAAAAAUCCUUGAAUAUAGUAACUAAACACUGAUAAAUAUCUUAAGAAAGACUUUAUUAGAACAUAUAGCUGCCCCAACUGGGGCCAAAAACGAGUCAAAUUUGUAUUUCUGUUCAACUAUUAUUGUUUGCAUUUUUUCUUUUUAUUUGCAGCCAUAAUAACAUACUAUAUUAUCCCCAAAUAGGAAAACCGGGUGAGAAAUAUUGUUUGAUAUGGUCCAGGGGGCUGAGUCAUACCACCCCCCAAAACCCACCACCUGCUGCCGGGUACUCCUCUUUUUAGGGUAUACUGAAGUGGGGGUACAUAGUACCACUUUACCAGUCCAACAUCCUAGGGAUGAAGGGGUGGGAAGUAUAUUUUGUUGUCCCCAUUGCAGUGGGAACCUUAAAUUGUCUUUUUUUUCCUUUCCUUUUUUUUUUUUUUUUUUUUGAUUGUGCACCUCCUUUUUUGUUUCUUUAGGGGAUAGUUUAAGCAAUUCUCAAAAAUAAUUUUUAUUUAUUUGUAAUUCCAGAAAUUUUCUUUGCAGGGGCCUCCAGUUCAUCGAUUCAGUGCUCUUAAGCACUUCGCUCCUGAUAACUCUGUUGAAGAUGUUCUAGGAGUCCUUACGAAACAUGCUCAUUUAGUGCAAGGACUGUGGGUUCCAAAGAGUUCAUUGUUAUUUCCUGGAGGUCAAGGUGUUGCACCAUUAGCUAGAGAUUACAUUCUUCUUUUAUUUAGCAAGGGUCCUUUAAUCAACUAUUCUCAAGUAGACGUUCCAGGAUCUCUUAAUAAAGCUCUGAAGGGCUUUCUGAGUAUAUUAGCUGUCGAAAGACCUUCCUUUAGGGAUUGGAAGUUUAAAGAGCCUACAGAUGUGUCAUUUAUGAAACUGCAUCCAGACAUUGUUAGGGAGCAAAGACGAGUUUGGGAAAGUCUGGAAAAACAGAUAACUGAUAUUAUUCAUGGAGGUGGAAGGAGAGGUCCUGUCACAAAGAAUUCUGGGAAGCCUAGCAUUGCAAAUAAAACUGGAACAUCAACAAAAUCUGAUGGAGCAACAAGAGCUACAAAUGGAACCCCUGUCAGGAGAACAGCCAUGUCAGCCGAAACUCGAGAAGCUCUACCAAAAGCUCUGGAAGAAGUUUUUAGAUUGCACAAGGUUUGCAGGUGAGGUUGUUGAUUCAUUUCAUCUUUAUAGGAUUUUUCGUUCGCUAAUAUUUUAAUUCUUCAGUCUUUUGGCCAUUUCAUGCCAUAUAAGUUAUACUGAUGAUGUUCUGUUAUAGUUAUGUUGAACCUUUGAAUUACUGACAACUGAUUAUAGCAAAAUUGUCCACCAGUAUGUAUUUUAUUCUGUGCAUUACAUUUAAAAUUGGGGUUUUGUGGUUCUGUUGAUCAAGGGUUUCCUUGUUUAUAUUGUAGCAACGAUGGUAGUGGUGGUCUUGAUAGAGGUUUUAGUGUUUGUCAACACCGGUAAUGCUUGUCAAGUCAUCAUCCCAAGAAGGGUUUGUCAGAGAAUGGAAAAGAUUUGGCGGAGGAUAUUCCUGUUGGAAGGUUGUUCUUUGGAAAGAAGCCUCACCUAUUGGAAUGCAGUUUGCAUGGAUACGAAACAAGGAGGUAUGGGCAUUAGAAGUCUUUCAAUUCUCAACAAGGCUUUGUUGGGCUUUGGUGGGUCUAUGAAGAGGGAAGGGAAGGGUAUGGGAGUUGGGCUUUGGAAAACAAUUAAGAAAGAUGGGAAGUGUUUCAAGCUAGAACCGGCCUUGUAGGUGAUGGUAGAGAGUGAGGUUUUGGCAUGAUUUGUGGUGCAGUGUAAUUGUUCUUUGGGAAUCUUUUCGAGCAUUGUUUUUCAUUUCAAGGUCAAAAGAUACUUGGGUAGCUGGUUUUUGGUAGGCUGUAGCACAUGGUAGGUUUCGGAAUCCAUGUUUCUCAAGGAACCUCCUUCACUGGGAGUUGGUUAUUGUGGAGGCAAACUGUGGUAGCGACUAGAGGUUGCGAGGAUAGGCCGGUGUUGAAAGAUUCAAAGAAUUGGAAAUUUCUUUGUAAAAUCCUUUUUUAGCUCUUUGGAAUCUACUUCAAGAGUUUGUCCCAGCAAAAGAACAUGGAGCUCGAGGCCCCCAUAAAAGUGUGUUUUUAUGCUUGGGAGGCAGUCCAGGAGAGGAUCUUAAUGUUGGAUUAAUGAAUAGAAAAGGAAGGCCUUUGGCUAACUGGUGUUGUUUAUGUAGAAGCAACGAGUAACCAAUCAACCAUAUCCUCCUUCAUCGUGGUAUAGCAGGAAACUUAUGGUCUCUGGUUUUUGCACUUUUUGGAGUCACAUGGGUGCUGCCAAGGGGUGGCAUAGAAUUUUUGUGGUGAUAAAAAUGUAAAGUUUGGUGAAUGUUGCCUCUUUGUUUGUUUCGAUAAUUUGGUACGAGUGAAACAGUAGGAUCCUCGAGGGGUGUGUGAACUUUCAAAGAUCCUUUUGUCCAUUCUCUGUUUUCAUGAUCAAAGGGAUGUUUGAAAGUUGAUUGUUCCCCUCUUUUUCACUUUAUUGGUUGUAUAGGAUCCCAUGAACACUUUAUUUUUCUUUUUAGCCUUUUGGCAUCAUUUGUAUACUUCUAGUGUGCUAGGGGUGCACCUGCUAGCCCCCUCAUCGUUUUGAUUGGCGCUUCUUUAUAUAUGUAUUCUUUACUUGCCCAAAAGAAAGGUUGGGAUGAUGAUGACGGCAUUGCAAUCUUGGCAACAGUGGGUGGGUGGAAGGUGAUAGGUGUCUUAAUGGUUUGGGUGGUAUAGGUGGCAGCUGAUAGUGAGGUUUCAAAUGUCACAGCUCCUGGUGAUGGUGGUGUCUGUUGAUGGCAUCAGGAUCGAUUUGGUUUAUUGAGUCACAUAUUAAAUUCACCAUAAUGCUGGUCAAAUAAAGGAACCUAAAUUGGAGUAGAUUAAGAUUAGAAAAGAACUCUGACCUGGCUUCACAUUACCUGCUUAUAUAAUGACAUGGAGUACUAGCACUUCUGUUUUAGCCCUUUAUCCUAAUAUUGCAUUUUUAGACAUUUGAAACAUCAAUAUGCAGUUGACCCUUAGCAAUCGAUAUCUCUAAUAUUGAAUAAUUUUCAUGGAAUCAACUCGGCUCUUGAGUGAGUAACUAUAUCUUGGGAUGAUGAAUUUUUACCAUAAAAAAUAUAGGCAAAAAUGCUUAUAUUCUUAGGAGGUCUCAUGCAGGUCCCCUUGCCUCAAACUUCUACAGGUCAGGAAGAAAUUUGUGGGAGUGUGUCAUUAACAAGAAUUGUCACUCUCAUGAAAGAUAUACAAAAGUGGAUCCAUUGUCUCUAUUUGGGUCUAAAUCCCAUCUUUUCUAAGACCGAAAGAAGGAAUUCCAGCUUACAUGAUCAUAAGCCUUUUCUAUAUCCAAUUUGCAAGCUAAGCCUGGAUUGGAACUAUGCUUCCUCGAGUCAAUAGCCUCAUUUGCAAUCAAAGCAACAUCCAUAAUCUAUCUACCCCUAAAAAGGCAUUAUGACUGUUUGAAAAUAAAAAGAGUGAUUUGAAAAUAAAAGCUUGAAGGGUAUGGUUGAACCUAUUUUUGUUAUAUGGAUCUUCACAUAAUUGGGCACUUAAUUUUGUUCUAUUAAAUGGUGAGUAUCAGAAUAAAUUAAGUUUGAAAAGGAAAAAACAAGAAUAAGAGUCAAGAUUUUUUCAAGGAAAUGCAAUCUAAGUGAUUUCUUUGGCAAAGUAUCCUUUUAUUCUUUUAAAGGAAUUCAACUGUAAGGCUUGGACAGCUUAUCGUGGUCCUAUGUUAAAUCUUCCUCUGUUUAGUUUGAAAAUAAUGGAUAGGCCUAUCACCUAAGUAGGACCUUCUCCUGUUUAGCAGAAAAUAAUGGAUGUGUAGACCCUCACAAUUCUCUAGAAGAGAUCAAAAACAUAUUGCAUGAAGUUUUAUGGAGCUUGAGCAUUUGGAGCUCUGGGGCCUAUAAAAAGUUAUUGACAAUUUGUAGCUUCAAUAUGAUAAAUGGCGUUUUCAUCUCUUCUUCUGUUACAGGUGGCCAUGUCUAAUGGAAUGGAAUAUUUCUUUUCCUCUUUUAUGGAAUAUGUUUGAUGAGUCUUUUCAGAUUGAAAAAUCUUUUAGGGUGUUUUGGUAUCUAUUUUCCUAACAGUCUCUGCUCUUGUUGUCAUUAAAUUACCAUCAAUGACAUCUGUGAUUGAUUUGCACCUGUGUAUGAUGUUGAUGUUGAGAAAUUCUAGUUACACACACAAGCAUUCAGCUGUUGCAAAUUACUGAAAGAUUCUUUCACAAUCAAAAUUUGGUGAUUGAUAUUAGAAUUAUGUCAUCUCUUUUGCUAGCUUCCAACUGAUUUGCCAAGCUUUGCGGGAUUUAGCGGUUUCAAAGUCUACUAGCCCAAAGGUGGAUCCUAGGACAUUUGUGGCUGCAGCAUACGGUGCUGAUGCUCCUCAAGAGGAGUUGCAUGCAAUUAUAAGUAAAUAUGCAACAACUGUACAUGGUGUUUAUGUUUGGAAGACUUCUGAACAUUCAGAACACAAUCCAUUAAGGUUCACAAUUUUUUUUUUUUUUUUCAGAAAAAGGUUGUGCUUAUGUCUAAAAUAGAGUUGUGUAAUGUUUUCUUCUACAGGAAAGUUGUUAUUGAUGUUUUGAGUCUUUUGACUGUUACCCUGUCAGGAAAGUUGUCGUUGAUCUUUUUUGUGGAAAAGAACCUAAUGCUAAGCUUAAGAGGGCUGAUAUCAUGGAAGCUGCCAAGAUUGCGCUUAAAAAAGAGAUCACCACCCAUGAAUAUAACAAGGUCAGCAAGAAAUCUGGUUCAUAAAUUAUCUGGAUUUUUUCAUAACAUAAGAAAGUUCAGUGUAAAGUUAUGUUUGAAUUUCAUUUAUCUGGAAGUAAUUAUUUUGUAGCUGACCAUAUUUUGAUGGACUUGUGAAAUACUUUGACUCAUGCAUACACAUUUCGCAGAAAGAGAUCUUGAUUUUUGUGAAAGGGUCUUGGAAAAUACCUGAACAUCUAGCAUUGUAGGUGUAGCAUCCAGAAACUCCAUCUUGUAACGUUCAAUUGUCAUUUUUUGAUGUAUUUUAGAAUUUGUAUUCUCUUUUAAUAAAGAUCUCUGGAAGUGAAAAUGUCACUAUGUAACAUGGUCAUGCUGUACAUUGAAUUAAUUUUUUUAUGCAAAUUAAUUCAUGUUUCAUUUAACUAGAUUGAUAUGUAAUCACAUGUGUGUGAGAUUAUUACAAAAGUAAUAAGCGAUUUAACUGUUACUUAUCAAAAAAAAAAAAAGCAAUUUAACUGUCAUCCAUGCAUAAUAUCAGUGCCAGCUGCCAUCAGCAUUGGAUUAUGAAGAAAUUUUGGAUAGUUGCACUAUAUUGGUGUUCUAGUGUACACCAUAUCAUUUGGUAUUGAUUGACAUCUAGCAAGAUUUGGCUAGAUUAGAAUUUGAUAUUAUAAUGUUUGUUUUAUCAGAUUUAUCCUUUUUUGUUAUGAAAUAUUUUUGUUAGAUUAAUUCCUUCAGUGGGUAUAUUCAAUUUAAUAUUUUUUUUGAACUUUUUUAUAUAUGUCCAAUCUAUAAUCCAUCCACAUCUUGGGUAUUAUCAAGAUAAGCUGAUAAAUUCCUUCAUAUCUUCAUUCAGAAGUAUCGCUCUAGCCUAUUUAAAUAUCAGUUGGUUUAGUUCCUUGAACUUAAUAAUUACUUUCUGGAAUUCUCUCAUGGAAGCAUGCCUUGAUAGACUCAUAUAGGACUUUAUUAUUUGACCUCCGGAUCCCUCAAUGUCUAGCAGAAGUUGACUUGCAUGAAUAGUCCCACAGUACAUGUACCACGUGUAUAACAAGGAACAAUGGAAUGUUUGUGUUCAUUUUAAAUAAGCAGAAAGAAAUGUUUAUGCCUUUUUUAUUAUUGUUUGUAUCUGAUUAUCAUCUGAUAUCAAGGAAAAAUCUUGCUGUUUGAUGCUUCAAUUGAAUGCAUGCUGUUUCUCUUUGAUUUUGCAGGUUGUAAGUGAAUUAUGUGAAUCCAGGGGCUCUCUGUGGGUUUUGAAAAGCGGUGAUGGAAAGCCAAAAUGAUUCUCUUGUGCAGUUUUCUAUAUUGAUUACAAUUAUUGUUGUAAGGUAUGCUAAGGAAUCCAGUCUCCACAGAAUAUUGAUUGACAAAUAAAAAAUUCAAGUGUCUGGUGAAUACACGUUUCUUUGGUCAAACAAGCUAGCUUGAGACUACUAUAUUUAUCCCAUGAACAUCUUGUUAUGAAUAAUGAUGGAUGGUGAUAUUGCUACUUACUUUCUACCUCUACCAGGCUUUUGAAGCAUGCACGCACAGGGGAUGCAUGCACUCCAUGAUUAAGACUUGGAAUGAUCACAACUCCAUGCCGACUGGGAAAAAGUGUAUAGUAUGAAGAGGAAUCGGAAGUUGCAGGUGAAGGUGAUAUUUUUCUUCAAGUCUUAAACAGAAAAAACAAAAAAGAAAACAAAAAAAAAACGUGUAUGUAAAAAACAUAAUCAUGUUAUUCGUGGAGAUGAAAGAAAAUCCCGCAACUUUUUCGGAUGUGGGGUUGUCAAAAUUAUGGGGGAGCAAAACUGUUGACAUGGAAGUCAUUUUCAAGGGUUAGGUUGAAGGAGGAAUUGCGUAUUGCACCUAGUCAUGCUUUCAUUCUUGUAGAAUAUUAACCAUUUGAUGCUCUGAUAUUCAUUGCAGCAAGUGUUGCUGGCAUCUGUGUUACUCAUGAUUUUGUGAUUCAUUUUGCAGUUCUCGGCAGCUCUUUUUCAACUGGGGCAGUUUUGUGGAGACUGGUUAGUAAAGUAGGAGAUAUCGCUGGUAACAUUGUGUGUUUUUCUUAGCAUUAGGCUUCCCUCAGAGAUUGGCAAUUGCGAGAAUUCGCCUUGACAGUGAUAACAUCAUUACUUAUGUUGACGAUGUUGUUGUUUUUUUCCGUUAUUUUCCUUAAUAGUCGUUACUCUUAAAUCAGAAAUCCAAAUGCCAAUAAUCAUUUCCUUGGCCGUCGGUGCUUUUAGCUCGGCGCUAUAUUUGGAACACAAAGUUCAUUUAUAGGUGGAGUGGGAGUCACGGCAUGUUCAGUUUGUUCUAGUGACGACUUUGAUUGACCCAUGCUUCCAAUGACUACGUAGACUCUAAUGCUGAAUCUUAACCUAUUAUAUGCUUUUUGUUCCAAAAAUAUUACAAAAUGUAAUUUCUAUUUUCAAUUCAUCCGAAUGGAAGACUCUCUGCCUUCUUGCUUACGUUGAGACCUCCAUUGCUUUUUUGCCAAGAUGGCAUCUCUUGUACCACAAAGAUAGAUGUUUAUAACUUCGGUGACAAUACUUCUAGUCCAUAGUGUUUUUAUUAACAACGAUUUGAUUAAAAAUGUUUUAUUAAAAGUCCGUUGGCAGUAUAUAUUUUUUUUUAAAAAAAAAUCAGAUGCAAAAUUUAAAAAAUGUUUUUAAAAAUUUAAGAAACAUUUAUAGUGUUUUUUUGGAUAAAUAAGUGAUUUUUAAAAAAAAAACUAUUUUAUUAAAAUCACUUCAAAAUGAAAUAUUGCCCAUUUCAUAAAACAUUUAGGUUUUGUUUGGUUUUUAAAAAAAUACUAAGAAAAGAAAAAAAAUUUAAAAGGAAAAUAAUUUUUUUAUGUUUAGUUGUGGUAUGAAAAAAGAAAAUUAAAUAUAAUUAAAAUUUUAUGUAUAUUUAAAUUAUUUAAUUUUUAAAUCAAUGAAUUAAAAUAAAUAAAAUGGGUUUGAAGUAACAAAUAAAAAUAAUUUAUCGAUUUUUUUUUCUUUCUACUUUUUUCUUUGUAUUUUUUUUUUUUUACGUUUUUCGAGAAUUAAAGAUAGUCUCAGUGUUUGAUUGGAAUUUUGGAUAUUCCAUUGACACUUCCACACGGAAUUUGACCCCCUUUCUUGAUAUCCAAUAUAUGUUGUUCACCCUUCUCACUUAAAUGGUUAAGUGAAAUUACAAUAAUUUUGAUAGAUUUUUAAAAAUAUUAUUUGAUUUAGUUUUUGAAUAAAAAUUAAUAAUUUUAAUAUCCAAACGAAUGAUUUAUGCUUUCACAAAAAAGUCAUUUAUCUAAAAGAAAUUGUUUGUUCCUACUAGCAUAUGAUCACAUUUUCUUUUGGCAAUGAUUUCAAGUCAGAGCAUGAUUGAAAAUUUAUCUAUUUUCUCUAUUUUUUUUGUAAGAAAUUAAUGAAUUAUAGAACAAAUAAUUAUAAAUGUUGCCAUAAAUUAGUACAAUAAAUAAUGCAUACUAAUUAUAUGAUUGUUUUUUUCCCAUUUUAUAUAUGCUUUUUAUUUUUUUUAAUUUAAAGUGGUGUUUUUUUUUAAUCAAAGAAUCUUUCAUAACUAAGUUCUUAAGACUGAUCCAAAUUUUUGGAUGUUAAUUAUCUCACAACAAUUGACAACUAAGGUAUAAUUUAGAGUAAGAUUUGAACCUAGAACCAUUUGUUACUACUUAUUAAAUCGGGUAUUUUAUUGACCAAUAUUUAUAUAUUAAUUUUUGUUUUAAUUUUCAUUAUUUUACUCGAUCCUAUUUUGAUUCCAUUAUUGGCAUUUUAGAUUUUAUUAUUUUGUAAUUUUAUAUGUGAUUUUGUUAUUUUAUAAUUAUUUGUAAAAUGAUUUCAUUUUUUAUUAUUUAUUUUCUAAUUUCACAUAGCGCUUAUGGUAGGUUUUUCCAAUGAAAAAUAAAAUAAUAAAUAACAAUUUAUUUCCGACACGAUCUCUCAGAACAGUAGUAUAUAAGAACUCCAAACCCUUCUCGAGCCCUAGACAUCGCACAGCUUCUCCACUUAAUCUCGUUAGGGGAGUGAAAGUGAAACCAACGAUGCCGGACUACGAAGGCAGAUACGAAGGUAACGGUAAUGGAGAGGAUCUCGACAAUUAUGGUUCCUCUCCUCAACCACGGGGUAGUAGCCAUGGCGGUCCCGAUGACUAUAGCGAUUCUAAAUCUCAGGUUUGUUCCAAUCUUCCGUUUUUUUUUUUUUUUUUUCUUUUUCGGUUUUAUGUUUAUGAUCUUCGCAAGGAGAACACUUGAUUUCGUUGAGAGAGCAGGCUUCGCCUGUGAUUUUAGGGUUUCGGAUGAAUCGAGCGAUUUUGAUAAAUAAUUCAGUAUAUUUUUUGCGGUUUCUGGUUAGGGUGUGUUUUGUAUGCGAUUUUAGGGUUUUAGUUGAGAACAUGUAUGUUUUUGUUGCGUGCGGAAUUAUGUCUGGAUUAUAGUUUAGGGUUUGUGUUUGGUUUUGGUUUAGGUUUAGUUGUUUAGGUGGGUUUUUUGUGCUUUCAUAGAGGGGUGGGUUCUUUUGUAAGGGAGUGAGUCGUUUUUUCUGUACUGUAACUAUUUGAGUCGCUUCUUUAGCGUCUCUUUUUCAAUACAUAUAUCACUUACUGAUCAAAAAAAAAAAAGGUUUAGUUGUUUAGGUAUUAGUAGCUAUUAUCGGUUUUUUCUCUGUGAGAGAACAUUAGUUAUUUUUUUAAUUUCUUUUGUGUUAAGUUUAGACUUAUUGCAGGUGACUGAAAGUGAAUCCAAAAAGCUUAGAUGUUGAUGGAGAUCUUUGUGAUUCUUUAGUUAUAUCUUUUUAGUAUGUUGUCAUAAGCCCCUCUUGGUUGUUUAGAUGGGUGCCUAUGAUUGUUUUAAUGAUUUCUUCUGUCUUUCAAAGCUAGAAGGCACUAUGCUUUAUCUUUUAAGACUAUGCAUGCUGUUAAAGAUUCCAUUUUUCAAUGCAUAUGAGGUUCUGUCUUUCUUUUCUGAUUGUGCUAUACCUCUGGGUUGCGCACAGUAUCGAUUUUAUUGUGCUAUUUGAUCCUUUGAACCCAUGCAUAUAAGUGACAUUUGUGAUCUAAUAAUAUGAAUUUUAUUCUACUAUUUGUUCCUUUGAACCCAUGCAUAUACGUGACAUUUGUGAUCUAAUGAUAAGAAAAGGUUCUUAUGCAAGUUUUAAAAUCAUUUUUUUUCCUGAAUCCCUUGAAGAUGUGAUUUUGGUUAAUUCAUGUUGCAUAAGUUAAUACUUGAGAGACUAGCAGUUAAAUAUUGGUAAAGUUUAUAAUAUAAUAAGCGAUAAGGGAUCCGGGCCUUUUAGAAUGAAAUAAUAAGAGACCCACAAUGUUCUGUACACAAUCAGUGGGGAGGUUUCAUGCAAGUCCUUUCAAUUCUCUCUCUUUUCUGAAUCAAUUGUAUAUUGUGUGAAGAUGUACACUUGGUGAAUGCAUGUUACAUGUUAAAAACAUUCGAGUGUUGUAGAUAGAUAUCUGAAAGGAGUUUUUUGGGUAUAUCAAUUGAAUGUUGUAGAAGUUUAUAAAAUAAUGCAUGAUAAGUAUCUAUGAUUAUGAAUGAAAUUGCUUGAUAAAUCGUGAUAGUAAACAUUGAAAAAUACAUAACAUGUGUAUCUUCUAUACCGAAAGUUGCUAUAUUGUCUAUCUUAUGCAGCAUGGUUCUCGUGAGUAUCAAAGGGAGUCUUCCAAAAGCAGGGAAAGGGAAAGAGAGAAAGGGCGUGACAAGGAUCGUGAGAGAGACAGGGAUAGGGAAAGGGACAAGGAGAGGGACAGGGACAGGGACAGGGACAAGGAGAGGGACAGGGACAGAAGAGACCGCUAUAGGGAUCGGAGUGACAGAAGGGAACGAACCAGAGAUAGAGAUGAUGAUGAUUUCCACCGCAGCCGAGAUUAUGAUAGGUACCAAAAGUAAAGCAAUGUAUUUAUGUCUGUAUAUGUUUUAUUUUCAUUUUAUUUAUUCAUUCAUCUAGCCAUAUCUGGCAUUUAAUUUGUCAAGGAAUUGACAAAACAUUUUUCUUACCAUCUCAUUGAAUUUAAUUUGCUGCCAAAUAGCCUCAUUAGAACUGUUCAUACUGUGACUGAGUGACCUUUCUAAUUGAUAUGUUAUGACUAAAGCUAAUAUUUGAUCUGUAUUACUUGGCCUGACUGCACUGCUUAUUAUUCAUAAUCUGCAUUUAAUCUCACCAGUCACCGAGUCUUUUUUAUUUUGUUUUAUUUUGGAACAUUCUCGUACUUUUCCCCUUUUGAGGUGUUAACAAUUUAUUGAUUUGAUGUUAACUACAGGCGAAGGGAUUUUGACAGGGAUAGAGAUGACAGGCAUAAGCGCAGGUCUCGUUCUCGUUCCAAGGGUAGAUCCGAACAGAGAUCAAGGUCAAGAUCUGCCUCGCUGUCAAAGAGGUAGGCUCUACAGGAUGUUUGUACACUGAUCUUUUGUGGGGCUUGCCUUUUUGGAAAUUUGCUUUGCUUUCCAUCUUGAUGGAAAUUAAAGUAGUUUGUUGUGAUCCUGGUUAUUAAAUAUUUGCUGGAAUGUUUUUAUUUAUAAUUCUAUUUUCUGCAGUGGAUUGUGUGAAGCCUUUAACAGCAAUGGCUUUUUGUUUUGUAUUUGGGAACUUGUAUUCAUCAUUUGUUUCUGAUAACGUCUUUUUAACUUCCACAUUUUGGUUGUGUAAGACAACCAAUUUCCUUAGAAAUUUAAGUUUAUAAGAUCUUAAUUCACAAUGUAUAUCAUGUACUCUAACACCCUUCGUCAUAAGCUUACACAUAGGCUUAAUAAAUUAGGAAAAUAAAGUAGUCUUUUUUGGGCUUAAUAAAUUGAGGAAAUGAACACAUGGUGAGGUUAAAAUGCAUAGCCACGCUCUAAUAUCAUGUUAGAUAAUUAAUUUUCCUAAAAGUUUAAGCUUGCAGGGUUUGUGUCCAUAAUGUAUAUUAUAUACUCUAACAAGUUGGAAUCUUAGGAUCAUCAUUUUAUUCAUUUGAAUUUUCUAGUAGCCUAAAAUUCACAAGUACCAUUAAGCUUUGUACUGAUGGGUUCUUGCUUUCUUGUGAUGCAAUUGAGGUUUUAUGCUAUACCAUCUAUACAUGGAUGGAAACAUUGAAUAGUGAGGGUAAAAAGAAAAAAGAAUUAUGAGAAAUGAUUUUUCCCUAAUUUCCCCUAGAUAUUUUGUUUUUCAUUGCAGUCAUGGAAUGCCAUGGCAGUCUGGCAACAUCCAAAUUUGGUUAUAUAGGAAGUACACUACAUAAUCAUUACUCCAGUGAAAGUGGAUAUACAACAUCAACUGUUAUCUGGCAAUGUGAAAAUGAAAGAUAUUUCUGCUACCUUCAUGCUUUACAGAAUCUGUUAGUUUAUAUGCAUGUGUUUUUGUGUUUACAUAUGCGUGCAUUCUUUGUUUUUCUCGAUUCUGUGAAGCAGGGUUAUUUGGUUUCUGCAUUGCCCAACACAAUCACACACACACACACACACAUGUACAUUUUAGUUAAUUGUGGCUCCUCUAGAUGGUUUUCUGCAGUCAUGCUAAGUUGGUGAUAUAUAUUUGCAGCAAAAGGGUCAGUGGUUUUGACAUGGCGCCCCCUGCUUCUGCAAUGUUAGCCGGUGCUGCUGCUGCUGCAGGUGCAUGUCCUAUCCAUACAUGAUUAGUUUGUUAUAUUUUUUUAACUGCUAUCUUUUUUUGUUUGAUCUAGUGGAAAGUUCGUAUCAAAUUGCAUGGUGUCUUUUUGGUAAGCUGGAUCAAAUUGCAUGGUGUCAUUAUGUUUCUUUUAAAUUGUUUACUUGGUGAAAUAAUUCUGAAACUGAGAAAUGUUUUUGGUUUUGUUCUUGUGUUUGGUGUUUGUUUGUUUGUUUCUAUGUCUUAUCUUUUGUUGUAAGAAGGCAAUGUUGGGCUACUUGCCCCACUGUGCUGACAAUGGGUGUGAGCCGACUUCUGUAGCUUUUAUAUACAAGGAGGAAUCAAUGCACCAGUUUGAUGGGUCUUGUUCGUCUUCAACCGGCAUCUAUUGCCUGUUUUGGUAGUCUUACAAAUAUUUCCUCCAGUACUUGAAUAUGUAGUAUUCUUUUCAUCCUUUUUGAUACCUUCUAUUGCAAGAACCUAGGAUUUGAUAAUACCAUUGAGUUCUCAUAAAAAAAAAAUUGAAUAAUAUGUGUCUGGUACUUAUUAUUUGGGUAGAGUAAGAAAUGAUUUGUGCUUAUGUUCUGAGGUGUGUAAUUUGUUUAGACUUCACAGGUCAGAUUCCCGGUACCACUCCAACCAUUCCUGGAAUGUUCCCGAACAUGUUUCCAUUAGCCUCUGGACAGGUACAUAUUCCUCCCUAAGGUUUGGAAAAUUCAUGCAAUUACUUGUAUUCGCUUUAAUAUUUUUUUUUUCGAAUUAUUUGUUGCACGUGACAGUUUGGAGCUCUUCCUGUUAUGCCAGUUCAGGCUAUGACUCAGCAGGUUUGCAUGAUCAAGCAUUCCUUGCAGUUUUUCCUCUUAAGUUUACUUUCCUCUUUUUGAUUAUGUCAUAACAUCUUUCAUGGUUUGUUCUGUGGUGUUAGGCUACUAGACAUGCUCGGCGGGUAUAUGUUGGUGGACUUUCUCCCACAGCCAAUGAACAGGUUUUCUCCUCCAUCUAGUUUAAACGAUGUUAUUGUUUCUGUCUUGAUGUUGGCUUUAGUUUGUUGGUAUGUUUCUAUUCAUCAUUGCUACUAUGGACAAUAGACUACACACUGGCCUAAAUGAUAAUUGAAUUGUUUUUUCCUUAUUACAGAAGAAAGUCUCAAUCACCCCAUCCUUUUUGUGUAUUGUAGAUGCUAGUAAUUGUUACAUCUAUAUUUUCGGCCUGCAGAGUUGAGCUAGCAUAACCUUAGAGUUGCCAUCUUUUCAUUCAACUAAUUAGAUCUUUGAGAUGUUAUUUCAGAACUGAAUGUAGUUAAAGCCUUGUCUAUUAAUAUAAUUAUAGAUAAUUACUAGUUUCUUGGUAUCUCAGUAGUUUGAGGUGCAUCAGUAAGCUAAUGGUGACAUUAUAGGAGUUCAUGUUAUUUGAAAAAUCUUAAUAGAUACGAAUCAUGGUUGGAUGUUUUUAUUUUUGAAUUCUUGUAUUUUAUCUUGCAUCGUUGUGCCAUACAAAAUUGAUCUCUGGACUUGUGGUGUCUUAUUAUUCUAGAUUUGAAAUUUAUUUGUCAUAUACUUUUGUUCUCAAUUGUCAUUUAAUAUGAUCUGAGUUUUCAAUGCAUCUGAUCUUUCAUUUUCUGCUGCAGUCUGUUGCAACCUUUUUCAGCCAGGUUAUGUCUGCAAUUGGAGGAAACACUGCUGGACCAGGUUUGUUGAAAAUAUCGCUAUUUGUGAAUGUUUAGUAGAUGACUGUGUAUGACCAUUUUCCUCGAAUUUUGUUAUGUCCAGGGGAUGCUGUGGUUAAUGUUUAUAUAAAUCAUGAAAAGAAGUUUGCCUUUGUGGAGAUGAGAUCUGUUGAGGAAGCCAGUAAUGCAAUGGCUUUGGAUGGUAUCAUUUUUGAGGUAUAUUGUCCUUUUUUUAGGGGGUUGAAAUUAGCCAGUCCAUUAGAGUCUGCUUGUUCUUCUUAGAAUUAAUUGGUGAAAAGUUUUGUUUCUCCUCUCAAAAAGGGUUAUUGAUGUUCACAUUCUGGUUCAAAAUUCAUGUUUAUUUUUUUAUUUUUAACUUUUAUUGUUUUUAUUAUUUUAUUAUUUUUUGGUUAAGUGAGAAAUGAUCCUCAGACUCGGCUCUAGGAUCUGGAAUUCACUGACAUCAUACUAAAUUUGUGGCAUGGCACUGACAUAGGUGAAGUAUUCUUCUUUGUAUGCAGGGUGCUCCAGUCAAGGUGAGGAGACCUAGUGAUUAUAACCCUUCUCUUGCUGCAACACUUGGUCCAAGUCAGCCCAAUCCCAAUUUAAACCUUGCUGCUGUGGGCCUAACACCAGGUUCUGCUGGGGGUCUUGAGGGUCCUGACCGCAUUUUUGUUGGUGGGCUCCCCUACUACUUCACAGAAGCACAGAUCAGGGAGUUGCUAGAGUCUUUUGGUCCUCUUCGGGGUUUUGAUCUUGUGAAAGACAGGGAAACUGGAAACUCCAAGGGCUAUGCAUUUUGUGUUUACCAAGAUCUUUCUGUUACUGACAUAGCUUGUGCUGCAUUGAAUGGAAUUAAAAUGGGUGAUAAGACUCUCACUGUUAGGCGUGCAAACCAGGGUGCUUCCCAACCUAAACCCGAGCAAGAGAAUGUAUUGUUGCAUGCACAGCAGCAGAUUGCUUUACAGGUGGAAAGAAACUUCAUGUUAUCAUCUCUAUUUAUUGGGAGAUGUUGCAAAUUUGCUGUCAAUCUUAAAAUUAAAAUAUUAUGCAGUAAUAUUAAUUUUGCAUUUUAUUUCAAUGGUAUUCUUGUUGCAUAUUAUGAUCAAUAACAGCAAGUUGUGAUGCUGCAAUAUUUUUUCUAAAUGGGCUGUACCUAUCAAACUAUAAAGUAGAACCUUUUUUGGUGGUUGUGAUGCAAAAUCAAGCCUUAGCAUAUAUUUCUUCAGAUACUGUCCGAGUUAAUUAUGACAUGGUGUUUUUUCUUCUGCAGAGGCUAAUGUUCCAGCCUGGGGCACUUGCCACCAAAGUUGUAUGCUUAACUCAAGUGGUUAAUGCGGAUGAGCUACAAGAUGAUGAGGCUUACGAAGACAUUGUUGAAGACAUGCGCAUAGAGGGAGGAAAAUUUGGUAAUGAUUUGGGUUAUCAAUUGGUUGACAUCCUGAUUUUUCUCUUCUUUUCACGGUUUUUCCUGCCAAUCUUCUUGCAUGUGUAUUGAUUUUCUUUGUCUUCUAUCUGUCUGUUUUACAGCCUUUUGUAGUCCCACAUUCUGCUAUAGAGAAUCAGGCCUAACAUACAGACAGAAGACUCCAUAACCUUCUAUCUAUGUUCACCUGAGAUUAAUUUUUUGUUUACCCUGUGAUUUUCUUACGGAUUCCAAAUUCCACUCAUGAUUUUGCAGGUAAUUUAGUGAAUGUUGCCAUACCUCGCCCAAAACCAAAUGGUGAACCAACACCUGGGUUAGGAAAGGUCAGAGUGAAGUUUCCUGCCUCUUUUACUUGGAACUGUUUUCAAUGCUUUAAAUGACCCCUUAAAAGAGUUACAAAAAUUCUGAGAGUGAUUUUCCUGUUACAGGUUUUCUUGGAGUAUGCCGACAUUGAUGGUGCUACAAAAGCCCGGACUGGAUUGAAUGGAAGAAAAUUUGAUGGAAACCAAGUUGUGGCCGUCUUCUAUCCAGAGAACAAGUUUUCCCAAGGGGAAUAUGAUGGCUAGUUUGUCUGUAUCUUCUGGCUUUCAACAUCAGAAUUCACUGGGCAUGAUGUUUUCCGAUGUAUCACUAUGGUCUUUGGCCUAGAUUGGGUUAUAAAAGUUCAUGUUCUAAAUGACAGCUUACAAUGGGUCUCUGGAUUACCCUAUUUUUAACUUUGCAGAUAGUAGACAAGUAGUUCUUUUACCCCUCCCCCUUUCUUUUUUUAUUUCUAUUUCUAUUUCUUUGUUUUGACUGGUGUUCGGAAGUAUAAAAUUGUUGCUGUUGAACCUGAGUAGUUGAAACGUUGUUUGGCUUGUGUUUUAGAUUAGUUGUCAUUAUUGUCAGGGUGAGGGGCCUGAACUGAAUAUCGCGAGGAUGGGGAGCCUGAAAGAUUUUAGAGCAAAUACGAAAGGAAGCUCUUAGCCCUUUCCAAAAUCACUCAAAAUCAGAUUUUUAUUUGUCAUUAUUUAAUAAUUAUGUUGAUUAAUUUGAUUUAAUUCAUAUAUGACUCCCUGAUUGAGCUGUAAAUAUAACAAUUUGAAAGAUUAAUCAUGAUGAAUGAAGCAAGAUCUAACUAUUAUUAAUGGGUGUAUGGGCUAUUUAAUAAUUAAGUCGUGGUUAAGUUUAUGUUUUUAAUUUGAUUAUUAUUUAUAUCAUAUUUGGAUCGACUUAUCUAAGUAAAAUGUUUGCAUUUACAUGGAUGCAAAGAUUUGCUUUGAAAACAAACAAGCCCUUAAAAUUAUUUUGGAAUUGAAAGUUAAUAUAUUCUUUAGGACUUUGCACUUUCUGAAACAUUAGAAGAAUAAGUGGGUUUUGAUAGUAAUAUCAGAAAAAUAAAAUGAAAAGAAAUUAGGGCGUGUGUGAGUAACUAUUAAUUAACUUCCCCAGCCACCUCCAAAACCCUAAUAUCUUCACACCCCGCUCCUACCCUCGUUCAUAUAUCAGUUCCCUUUACAUUUAUCCCUACCACCCAAACCCCAGAACCCUAAAAAUGUCAUGUUCUCUUGCCCGCCACCUCCGCCACGUCCGUCACCUCUCAACUGCCGCCGCCGCCGCCGCCUCCACCGCUGCUGCCUCUGCCUCUUCCUCGUCCAUAUCCGUUUCCAGAGCUAAAUCGAUACUCCGAUCAGAAUUUGAUCCAGACAGAGCCUUAGAAAUCUACUCCUCCGUUUCCAAACACUACACCUCCCCACUCGCCUCUCGCUACGCCCAAGACCUCACCGUUAAACGCCUUGCCAAGUCUCGCCGCUUCGCCGAUAUCGAGACCCUGAUCGAGUCCCACAAGAAUGAUCCCAAAAUCACCCAAGAACCUUACCUUUCCACCUUGAUUCGAUCCUAUGGUAUAGCCGGCAUGUUCCAACAUGCCCUCAGAACGUUUAAUCAAAUGGAAGAGCUUGGCACUCCUCGAUCAUCCAUUUCCUUCAACGCCCUUUUGUCCGCCUGUAAUCAAUCCAAGUUGUUCGAUCAAGUACCCAAAUUCUUCGAAGAAAUUCCCAGAAGGUACGGUGUUUUGCCAGAUAAGAUUUCUUAUGGUAUAUUGGUGAAAUCAUACUGUGAAUCGGGUUUGUCUGACAAAGCAAUUUCGAUGUUGAAAGAAAUGGAAGAGAAGGGUGUUGAGAUUACAGCAGUUACGUUCACGACGAUAUUGGAUGCUUUGUACAAGCAGGGGCAGAGUGAUAGAGCUGAGAAAGUUUGGCAUGAAAUGGCGAAAAAGGGGUGUUUGGAUGUUGGGGCCUAUAAUGUGAAGAUUAUGUUUGCCCAUGGCGGAGACCCCGAAAAUGUGAAGGCGUUGAUCGAUGAGAUGAGCAAUGCUGGGUUGAAACCGGACACCAUCAGUUACAAUUAUUUGAUGACCAGUUAUUGCAAGAGCGGGAUGGUGGAUGAGGCAAAGAAGGUUUAUGCAGAGUUAGAGGAAACUGGGUGUCAUCCCAAUGCAGCCACAUUUAGGACUUUGAUUUAUUAUUUAUGUCGAAGUGGAGACUUUGAAACGGGGUAUAAGGUUUUUAAGCAGAGUGCUUUUAGGCGUAAGAUACCAGAUUUUGGUACAUUGAGGCAUUUGGUGGAAGGAUUGGUGCAGAAAAAGAAAACCAAGGAGGCCAAAGGAUUGAUCAGAACGGUGAAAAAGAAUUUUCCUGCAAAUUUCUUGAAUGUGUGGAGGAAGCUGGAGGAGGAUCUUGGUUUAGCUGGCGUAGAUUCUUCUCCGGCUGCUGAUGAUGUCCAAGAGGCUACUUCAUAGAUCAGUUAAAGUCCUUGUUCACCACUUCAUCUGCGUUUGCAAUUGAUUCAAUUGGUCAAAUUGUGAGUAGAUGUUGGUUGUGUAGGCCAAGUUUGGAGCAACGGGUGAAGCUAUUUUAAACUUAAUAGAGGUGUAAAAGCUUUGUUUUUAGCUUUAUGCUUGGUGUAGUGUUAGUCCUCUCCUGGCCCUCCACAAUUUAAAGGCUAUUUUAAACUUCAUGCAGUUGUUUUUAUGCUCAUUAUCUACUAUUUCUUUAUGGGUUAAUAAUGUUGGCUUUGUGGAGGCCAAAAGGGGUUUUAAAGAUUUUGACUUUAAUUCAAUGUGUUUACUGAUGGGGUUCAUUUUCUUCCCUCCUGUUCUCUUGUUCCUAUUGUUUCUAGGUUUUUUUUUUGGUUUCUAUCUUCUCAUGUUGAGGGUGAUGGGGAAAUUGCAGGGAGGGUCAAGGGAAGAAGAUGGGUCUUUUGAAAAUCCGUUUCAUAUGGUCUCAUUUGGAUUUUUGUGCAGUUUAGGGUUAGCCAAAGGAUCUUGUGUUUAUUGUGGGGGUAAAUUUCUGUCACGUUUUCUACAAUAACAUAAGACCAACCUAAUGGAUCUUUUUAGCAGGUCUGGAAAGACAAAUACAAGUACUCCGCAUCCCUUCUGCUUGAUCCCAGCAUGGGGAGGUGCAGCUUAAUUCCCCGGAAGUGUAAAUUGGGUUAGACUUGGAGCUAUUUUUUUGGCGACCCAACUGCCCAAGCUAUUAUCUCACUCUUAGGUUCUUAAAUGGUUUCCCUCUUGGCCUCCUAGUUUAGGGCCUUCAGUGCCCAAUUUCCCCGUAUUCUGCUCUUGACGGCCGUGAUGCAGUGACAAGAUUUGCAAACAUGACACGAACUUAAUAUGCGUUUUAUGAUUUAAGUUGAGUAUAAAUGAGUUUAAAUGUCGACUUGCAUAUCCCAUUUAAUAAAUAGGUAAUUUUUAAGUUAAUAUGAAUAAUAUAAAUCGAAUUGAUCUAUCUGAUAAUCUCAUUAUUAAUUUAAUUAUAUUUUAAAAUUAUUUAGUUUAUAUUUGAUUUAUUUUAAAUUUGGUUUUAAAUAAACGAAUUAAUUAAGUCAUGAACAUAUUUGGUUGAGACAUUAAAUAUAUAAACAUGUAUAAGUCUUAAAUCUUUUUUAUUAUUAAAAUGGAUUAGAUGAAUUAUACAAGAUAUUAUUUAUUUAAUAAUUAGGUAAUAUUUGAGUUUAUAUUUUUUAUAUAAUUAUUAUUCGUAUUAGGUUUGGAUUGAGUUAUAUAAUAGAAUAAUUGAACUUUUAACAUGACACAAAUACAACCCAUCAACAUAAAAUGCCACCAGUGGAUGCACCCGUAAAAAACAGGGUGGUGAAAAUGAUUCUUCUUCCACCGAUAUGGUAUUCGAUUCAAUUUUAAUUAAAAUCCAUGGUAAUUUGUGGCCUGGAAAUUAUUGGAAAUGGUUAGUUCUUGAAUGGCUAUCACACUCCACACCAUGUUAUUAAAUGCCAAAUAAUAAAAUAAACACUAUUCUUUGUCAAUUAUAUGUAGUAGGUUAUAUAAAAAAAAACCAGGAAAAUUACAACAUUUGUGUAGGGAGUUUCACACCAAAUUGGUCAUUUUGACAAUUAAAAUAUAAAUUUUUUAUUUUUCAAAAUAGUUUUUUGAUUACUUUACUUUAUUUAAAAAAAAUUGUUUGAAAUUGUAUUUUAAAAUUACAAAUAUAAAAAUAAUAUUUUAAAAUUACUGUACAUAUAUUUUGUGGUGAAAGGACCAUUUUGACCCAAAAUUCGUUAUUUUGAGUAAUAGUUUGAAAAUAUGACUUGAUAAUAUAUUACGUUGGGAAGAGAGGAGGCAUAAGGUAGGGCAGAGGCGAGUAGCGUAGGAUUUUAGUUUUAAAGAAGGGGUAGAACAGUCGAAAGAAGAAAUAGAGAGGAAAGAGAAACGAUGACGACUCGAAUCGCUCCGGGCGUCGGAGCCAACUUGCUAGGCCAACACUCCGCCGAGAGGAACCAGGAUGCCACUGCUUACGUCGGCAAUCUCGAUCCUCAGGUUCUCUCGUUUCCUUGUUUCUUUUCUCCAUUGCUUUCCGCUUUAUCUCUUAUUUAUUUUUAUUUUAAUUUGUUUUAGUGCUUCUGCAAUAAAGCUAGGGCUUCCAUAUUCCAACUGUCAAAAUCAACCAAACUUUUUACACACUGCAAGUUCAGUUUUCAGUUUAUUUGGGGGCUCUCCUCCUCCCACGCUUUUCUAGAUUCAUCGCCUGAUGAAAAUUUAGUCGGUAUCCCACUCAUUACUAACUCAAUGUUUUCAUAGAAAUGGAAGUUCUUCUUUUUCAGGGUUUUCGGACACGUGACUAUUGUAAACUUGACAAUCUUGUUAACGAAUUCUUGUCUGGUUUUAUUCUUUUCAAUUAAUUGAAGCUUAGUGUCGAUGCCCAACAUCAAAAUCCACUUGCAGUCUUAACUAAAAUAGGUGGAGAAAAAAAAAAUUAAAAUUCAGAUGGAAUGUGUUCAUCAGGAUCUUGACACACCUUUAAUUCAUAUUGCUCCUUGGAGCGCUGCUCUCACUACCCUCAUUUACAAAGAAGACUGAAAAGAUCCGGACCCUAAUUAAAAGGUUACAAAUAAAAUUGUAUGCAAUCGAUAAAUGGGGGGUGUGGUCAUGAACCUUUUCCUCAACAAUGCUGACACUAAACUGGGAGCUCCCAAAGAAAUUUAGAAAUUGGGUUGAGAGUCAUUCCUGCUGCUUCAUGAGUCAGUAUUGCAACCAUUAUAUAUAGCCUAAGGAUAUGUUUGGUUCCAAAAAAAUUGAGGAAAAAUGCAGGGAAAAGAAAAAUGUGGGGGAAAAAAAUGAAAAAAAAUGAAAGAAAAUAAAAAAUAAAUUUAAAAUCAAUAAAUUAUUUUUUAUGCUAGUUCAAACUCAUUUUACUUAUUUGAAUUCUUCGAAGGAUUAAAUAAUUUGAAAAUGUAUGGUUGUUUAAUUAAUUUUCAUUAUAUUUGAUUUUCUUUCGUACUUUCAUAAUAAAACCUAAUAUGAAAAAAUCAUUUUUCCUUAAGGUUAUGUUUGGUUCCCGGAAAAUACUAAGGAAAGAAAAAAAAAUACAAAGGAAAAUGAUUUUUUCAUGUUUGGUUGUCCUAUGAAAAAUGUAAAAGAAAAUCAAAUAUAAUUAAAAUUUUAUGUAUGUUUAAAUUAUUUAAUCUUUAUAUCGAUGAGUUAAAAUAAGUAAAAUGAGUUUGAAGUAACAAAUAAAAAUAAUUUAUUGACUUUUUAAUCUAUUUUUUAUUUUUCUUCACUUUUUGUUUCCUUCUACUUUUCCUUUGGAUUUUCUUCCCCUUGCAUUUUCCCUCAGAUUUUUCGGGAACCAAACAUGGCCUAACAGUUUUUUUUUCUUUCCUUUAUACUUUCUUGGGACCAAACAUAGAGUAAGUGAUUAUCUUUAACCAAAAUCACUCCCAAAUAGGCUCUACAUAUUGUUGCCAGGAUGUAUAGGUGCCUCAUAAAAAUGAUGCAAUGCUGAAAAUUUUCAAACUAACUUUACACUGGAUUAUUUGUGUCAUGGAGAAAGUUGGCUCAGACUAUGCUUUUCCAGAUAGGCUGGUGCACAAAUGCGACUCCUUAGACUUGAAAUGAGAAGUUCCUAGAAUGGCCCUUGAAGGUAUAUUUUUGUGUGCUAUGAUUAGCACACAAAUUCUUAUAGAAGAGGUUGAAGUGGUUCAGACUCUUGAAAACCUUGAAAUUGUAACAUAUUAUUCUGGAAAUUGUUGUUAUUUAGAUUUUAAAUCAUCAUUCACUUAUCUGUUCAUGUGAUGAAGAUAUUUCUAGUCAAACCUUCUGUUGUAUAUAACCAACUUUUUACAUAAUAUAUCAUUCCUCUCUAAUCAUUAGAUUGUUGGUCCAAUAUCCAGCAGUCAGUUUGUUGAUCGUGUAUAUUUCAUUUUUUUCUGUGCCAUAUGUUCCCUCUUAUUUGUACCAGAAUUUGUGUAAUAUCCAUGUUACAUAGAGCACUAGAUCAGAAUCAUAUAACAUUUUUUUUCCCUCUUUUUUGCGGUUGGGGUGGGAGGAGGGAUGGGGAGAGAAAAGAGACCUGGACCCUCUUCAUUUUUUCACAUGCUCAUUCUGCUCUAUUUUCUUGCAGGUAACCGAGGAGUUACUGUGGGAGUUGUUUGUUCAAGCGGGCCCUGUUGGUAAGUUCCAAACUUUUAUUAUCACAAAGGCGCUGAUCAAUGAAUAUUUGCGAUUCAAGUGAACUAUAAAAUAAAGUACAUCCGUUUAUCAGCAUGGUUGGAACACUUGGCUAUUGACUGUUUUGGUGCACAUUUUUGUGACAUUCAUAGAGUUAAUAGUUUUGCCAUUGUAAUUCCUUUUUCUCAUGAUUUAUGUGUUAUGAGUUAUCGAAUCAUAGAAAACCCAUCCUAAGAUUGUGAUAACUUCCACUAGUUUCUUUUCACAUCAGAACAUUUUAUUCCAUGCAUAACAUAUAUUUCUCCUUUUAUUUAUCUUUCUUGUGUCACUUCCCUCAAUUAUCAUGUUAGUUACUCUUUUUACUAGAUUCCUUUGUUGAAAAAUUUUAACCAUUUUAUGCAUAUUAGCUAUUUGUGCAUGUGUAUGUGUACACGUCUCCCAACUUAUAGGUUCUUUAUUUAAUUAUUUUUUUUUAGUUUUUCAUUGUAUUUGUAAGUUUAAAAACCACUAACUAUAGGUUUGGACGUGACAUUUCAUAUUUGAUGUCUAAAAUUACAUAGAUCAAAGUGUUUUCAAAUGCUUCCUUCUUGAUGUGCAAUUCAUUGAGAUCAGAUUAUUUGUAAAUACCUCAAACAUUAGAUGCUGAAAACAAAAUGAUGAUUCUUUUGAUUAAAGAAAGGAAAGAGAGUGUUUGAUGUCCCACAUUGUCUGGGAGGAGAGGUUCUUGACAUUCAUAAGGGGUAUACCACUGAUAUGGAUAGAUGUACUUUAUAGCAAUGAGGGUAGCCUUGAAGUUUGUGGGCUCAAAGUGGACAAUAUCCACCUGAUGUCUGUGGUCAUGAGAGGUGGUAUCAUAGCCAAUCAUUAAUUAAAAAGUGUAUGGAGUCAACUGCAUCUUGUGAGCUGUGGGCCAGCAAGGAUGUCAAGGUUGUAUGAAAGGGUGAGUUAUGACAUCCCAUAUCAUUAAGGAGGAGAGGUUCCUAGCUUUUGUUAAGGGGUGAUGCCUCUAAACUAGUUAGCAUUUUAAAGUUGUAAGGACUUCCAUGAAGGUGGUAGACCCAAAGCAGACAAUAUUUAGAUCGUUGAAGCAAAAUGAUAACCCUUUUGAUUAAAGAAAGGGAAGAGAAAGAGAACUCUUAACAUGCCCUUUUACAGUAUGGUAAUGAAAGAAAUAAGGUUUGGACUUUAUUGGUAUGUAGUAUAACUUCUAUGGAUUAACAUUCUUAAUGAGAACUAGAUGUAGGAUUUAUGGUAGUGCUAUAGUGGUUUUACUUGAUUAUUUUGAACAUUUCUUUUACAUUUUUUACAAAUUAUUUCUGACAGUGCAAAUUGCAAAAUUAUAAUUUUCUAUAAACUUUGUUUAUGUAUCCUUUUUUUCCCUUCUGUUUCAGUUAAUGUAUAUGUUCCCAAAGAUAGAGUGACAAAUCUGCACCAAGGAUAUGGAUUUGUAGAAUUUCGAAGUGAAGAGGAUGCUGAUUAUGUAAGUGUUGCUUUUACAUUGUACCAGUUUCCAUGCUCCUGUUAAUUGCUUAACUGCCUGUUCAAAUCAUAUUUUUAAUCUGUACCUGUUCACUUCCUUAAAGUUUUAUAUUUUUUAUUUAUAGGUCUUUCUUUCUUUCUUUUUUUUUUUCCCCUAAUGCAGGCAAUUAAGGUUCUGAAUAUGAUUAAACUUUAUGGGAAGCCAAUACGUGUAAAUAAGGUGUGACAUUUAUUUUCACUAGCUAUCUCAUUUGCCUUAUUUCUUAUGUUCUUUUUCAGACUAUGAGUUAUGAAGUGUAGUUAUAUUUGUUUGGAGCGUCCAUAAAUUCUUAUAAAAUAUGUGUUUGUAUGAUCUUUUUCCCCUUUUUUAUUGGUUCCAGGCAUCUCAAGAUAAAAAGAGCUUGGAUGUUGGAGCAAACCUUUUUGUUGGAAACCUUGAUCCUGUAAGUAGUUCAAUUCCUUAUUUUUAUUUAUUUUUAUUGGGAAGUUGUAUUGUAUCAAAACCUUUGUGGGUGUGAAGGACUCAUGGACAGUUGUUGUAUCACUAGUUUCAAUUUUAAAGUUGACCCUGGAUGUUCUUUGCAGGAUGUGGAUGAGAAACUUCUGUAUGAUACUUUCAGUGCAUUUGGAGUCAUUGUCACAAAUCCCAAGGUGACGCCUCUUUUGAUUUUCCCUUUUUUGAGAAUAUAUACACAUAUAUUUUCUGUUAUAUGGAACCAGAAUUGGAAUCUCUCCCCAUCCCCACCCUAACCUCUUGCCUCUUGAGCCAAGCCUCAGGGGUCCCCUUCCAUUGACUUUUCUUUUGUUAAGAUAUCUGAAAGUCCAGAAAUCAAAUAAAUAAUCUUCGUGCAAGAAAUUCUUAAAUGCAUGUUGUAGGUUUAAAACCAUUGUUAUUCAGCUUAUUAGCUUAUGGUGUAUGUUAGCAUAGACAAUUACACCAAGGAUCUGUAUUUGUUCAUAAAUGCUCCUCACAGAUGAGAAAUAUCUGGAGAUAACUUGAUUUCUUUUUCUUUGGCCACUGUUUGUCACUGUCAUCUAUAAUGAUAGUAAUUGAUAAAUCAACAAUGUCAGUGACAUGGCAAUUUUAUGGGUAAGGAUCAAAAGAGGGUGGCCCCUCUUUGCUUGUUUGCUACAUAUGGAAGAAUGCAAUAGGAGAAUCCUGGAUGGCUUGGAGCAAAUAAAUUAGCAAUGAAGGACUGUGUUUCCUCAGAUCUCUAUUUGCUUGGGUUAGGGGUUUUGUAGCUCAUGUUGUGUAGCUUUAUGCAUGUCAUCCAAAUUCGUCUGUGGUUGAGCCAGAAAGGAAUAACUGUUGCUCAUGGUGUGGCUUCACCAGUGUUCUGUUCAAAUUUCUAUUUGAUUUAUCUAGCCAGUAGGGAGUAAUUGUCACUCAUGAUGUGACUUCAGAAGUGUGCCAUGCAAGCUUCUAUAUGGUUCAUCUAGCCAGAAAGGAAUUACCAGAAUCAAUGAGUUUAUAAAUGGUUGGUAAGAAUCCACUAGGGAGAUGGUGCAUCUUUCAUUCCAUGUCAGUUGCCUUUGCUCAUAUAAGCAUUUCUCUGCCUCUUAUCUAUCUAAAUUGGAGGAUAAUUGCUCCCUGCUCUCCUUAGGUUUCUGCUUGCAAUCUGCUUCCUUGUGACUCCAUAAAAAGUUACUUGUGAUGCUGGUCCCAUGGCUAUCCUAGGUGAACUUGGUGACCAUAGGUAUGGGGAAUCAUGAAAAUAAUAACACUUCCCUUUAAAGCUUUUCACUAUGAUAAGGCUAAUAGGGUGGAAUUUCCAUGUAGUGAGUUUGAGGGCAGUGACAAAAUUGGGAAUCCUUGACAGAGGCAAUGGACAUUUCCAGAGUAAUGUGUUUGGACUUAUGAUCUACGAAUCUAGAUGUUGGACUUAUUAGAUAAGAAUUGCAGUUAGAUUUUGGACAAAAUUUAUGUGCUGUAUUAGUCUUUCUAUAUGCUGCAGAUUCUUUGUUGGUCUUGUUUUGAUCAUUUCCUGGAGUAAUUAAAGCCUCUUUUGUAUACAGUGUACUCUCUGCUCUGAGUUUCCUAAAAUUUGUUUGUAUUAAGGAAAAAAAUUGACAUACUUGAAGAUUUUGUUGUUGGAUCCUUCUCUCAUGCAUCUUGCAAUUCUCUUUUGUUUCUCCUUUUUUUUUCCUUAGUUUGUUAUAUUAUAAUACAUUGUCAUGCAUGUUACUGCUUUUAGGAAAUAGCACACACAACACAUGUGCAGGAAUUAUUGUUGAGAAGAGUUAAGAAAUGUGUGGAGUUGAAUGUGAAGUUUGUAAAAGUGUGCAUGUAAUAUUGUUGAGAGAAACUAAGAAAUGUGCGGGAGUUGAGUAAUAAAGGUUGUAAGAGUUGUGUGGAAGAGAUUCUCAUCUUUUUAUUUGGAUUUAGAAAAUCUCAGUGGAUAGAACGUUUAUUUAGAUUUCUCUUAAUUAAUAUUAAAUUACAUGAGAAUGAUAUCUUUCAUAUGUCAAUUAGGGAAAAUGGAUUUCAGAGGCAGGAGGAGAGACUAAAUAGGACAAACACUUUCUCUGUGAUACAGAUUUGAAACUGCUAACCUUUUGAUGGCCAUGACUUUUGCAAUAUGGAUCUCUUGUAUCCUAGAGUUUUAUACCCCGCUUUAGAAGGUGGCUCCUUCAUUAUCCAUGUAGAUGAGAUAGUACAACAGUUGUUUUGUGCUUCAUACUGGGAUGCAUUAGGAGCUCAGGACUCGAUAGGAUGGAGAGAUUAUGGGGUGUCUAUGAAUGCUCCAUUGGAUAAUUCUUCCAUUGUGUAUUUAUAGUGAGUUGUGGGUCAGAUACUGUCCAAACUUGUGUUUGCUGCAUAUCUGGGCUAAAGAUAAAAUCAAAGUGCUUGUGUAAAUUGUCACUUGGGUUGACUUGAAUUUGAAAAUCUUUAUAUAUAAACCAUUUAAGAAGUUAAAUUUGAUUUUGUUUGACAGUAAAAAAUCCUGAAACUACUUAAAUGCAUUCUUUCAUGACCAUAUUUUCUAUACCAUUUAGCAUGGUCACAUUAACAUUCAAUUGAUCAUAUGGUUCGGAACGUUUAUAUGCCUUAAUUUUGAUUCCAGAGGAUUGGGAUGUAACUGUGUAAAUAACCCAUUUAAUGGUGGGCUCUGGUCUCAUCCUUGCACAUCUCAUGCAUCACAAAAAUUGUGGGCUUAAUGAAAUGUAUUAAAAAUGCACAGGGACAAUUUCAUUUGUGUUCUGUGCUGACUAAAAUGAUGAUGCUUCUUUGCAAUUGAAUAUGACGUUUGGCACUUCUCCUUGUCAGAUAAUGAGAGAUCCUGAUACAGGAAAUUCUCGUGGUUUUGGUUUCGUUAGCUAUGACUCUUUUGAGGCAUCUGAUGCAGCUAUUGAGGUAUAUAUCUCUUGAUGAUAUUUUCAUAUCAUUUAGGUGGUUUUAACUUUCUGCUUAAGCUAUGAGAAACACAAUUCAGUAUUUGGAUUAAUGAUUGGCUUUCUAAUUCAGUCCUGUUGUAUUAUGAUAAAGGUUUAAACAAUCUACACUCAACUUGUAUUUAGAAGCUAGAUAACAAGUCAGCUUAGGUAUUGUUUUCACACACAAAUUUUCCUUUUUAAUAGACAAAUAAAGAUGAUAUAAUAGGCAUCUAACAAAAGGGUGCACAGUCCACAAGUGCACAGGAUCUGCUACCCCAAGACCAAGAGAACAAAAAGUUAAUGCAGGCUCUUUUCAGAGUCUUUCCAGGUUUUGAGAAACCCUUAAAACAUCUUCAUUUUUGGUCUCUCCAAUUAUGCUGAGACAAAUGAAGAAGAAUCUCCUUUCAGCUCUCUCCAAGAAACUUUCCAUGCCAGGCCCAAAGCAACCACAUUAUUGUUCUUUUCAAAAACCUAUUGAUCCCCAUGGCAUUUUGUGAUUCUUCUUCUUCUUCAUGAUUUUGAUAGUCCAGGUUUGUAAUUACAUUAGACAAGAUUUCAGAAAGCCUCUUAAAUUAUUUGUACUCUUUUUAUCUCAGUAAUCUUCUUCUCCUUGAGGGGUUUGUAGUCCAGGUGGUUUCGUAGUCCUGGUGUUAAUUGCAUUGUUCAAGAUUUCAGAAAGCCUCUUAAAUUAGUUUUGCUCUUUUUUUCACAUUAUGGCAUCAAGUCACUCACCCAUAUGACUUGAUCCAUCUUUUAUUCUGAUUGAAUUGGAGUUAGAUUUAGGUGUUGAUGACCUUCCAUAUUUGCAGGCAAUGAAUGGUCAGUAUCUCUGCAACCGGCAGAUAACUGUGUCCUAUGCAUACAAGAAAGACACUAAAGGGGAGCGGCAUGGUACCCCAGCAGGUAAGGUUUUCUCCAUCAUCAAGCUGCUACUUUCUUUCAUUGAAGAAAAAUGUGAAGGGUUUUGUUAAUAAAAAGUAGACAGGAGAGGCCGCCUCAAAGGUGAUGCUCACUGAAAAGAGAAAGAAAUGGCAUACAAACCCAAACUAGACAGACGACUCUAAUCAAGUAGGAUAAUAGUGCCUUUGCAGUUUUUUGAGUGCAAGCUAUCCCUGUGGUUGAGAAAUCCGUUACCUGGUUAGCUGCUCUCUGAACCCUAGAAAUCUGGCUUUUCUGAUACCAAGGGUCUGACCAUUGAAAAAAUGAUAUUAUUAAAAAAAAAAACAAAAAAACCAGAAGAAGUCACUGAAAAGGAGCAGAAAUAUGGAACCCAAUGAAAAUUCAAAACCGCCAAUUUCUCCAACUUAGUUAGAAUACAAUAGUACUGCCACACAUCCUUCAAAAACUGCCAUCCCCUGACCAGAGUUGACAUCUGCCCCUGCUGCUUUUAGUUAUUAUUAUUUUUUGAGUCAAAUAUUUUAGAGAACAUUUGCUUAUUUGCUGCUCGACCAUGCAGAAAGGGUUUUGGCUGCAAGCAAUCCAAGUGCUCCAAAGAGCAGGCCCCACACCUUGUUUGCGAGUGGACCUCCUACACUUCCCAAUGUUCCUCAGGCCAAUGGUAACAUGGGUGCUCCAAUGCCGCCACGUCCCUUUGCAAAUGGUGUUGUUCCUCCGGUCCCAAUUCCCGCAAUGCGCCCCCCACCCCCACAAAGUGGAGCCUUCCCACCCAUGCAGCUAGCUGGACCACCAUCUUGGCAAGGGCAGCCUCAGCAACCGGGUCAACCAAUGCAACCACCUAUGAUGCCUCCGCCCCCACUUCAGCAGUUCAGGCCGCCUCCCCCGAGCAUGCCACCACCCCCUCAACAGGUAAUGCAAGCUCUCUCAAGACCUCCUCCACCACCAGCAUUAAUGGGGGGCCCUCCCCCUGUUUGGCGGCCACCCCCACCCCCUCAGCAACUGGCUGGGAGGCCCCCUACUAUGCUUCAGAUGUCAAUGCCGCCACCUCCACCACCUCCUGCAGCAGGUUGAAGAGAAGUUGAAAACCCGAUAAAUGUUGCAAAAGUAGUUAUUUUGUCAAAUGCUUCUAUCUAAGACUAUGUCUUACCUACUUAGGAUUAUAUAGAAAUCGCGGUAGGGACAAUCUUUGAUCC
rnacentral:lncRNA from 1 species